AUUAUUUGUCUGGUUAUUAUUCAAAAAUAAUAAUAAUAGUGCUUCUAACUUCAAGUCAUCUCUUUGAAGACUUCAUGUCUUAUUGGUCUCAUGCAAUCUAUUUGUUAGGAACUUGUCCAUGUUAAUUGUGCAUGUCAGAGAAGAUGAAACGAAGAAGCCAAACUUGUUUAGUAGUGAUCUUCUUCUUCUUUUACUCCUCUACCUCCCUAACUCAUCUCUGUUUUGCAGCUGAUACCAUUUCUUCAGGUCAAUCUCUCACUUUUAAUCAAACUCUGAUAUCCAAAGGUGGUAAGUUUGAGCUUGGCUUCUUUACACCAGGUACUUCUCUUAACUACUACUACAUAGGAAUUUGGUAUAAGAAUAUCCCUAAUAAAACGGUUGUUUGGGUUGCAAACAGAGAUAUUCCUCUUACUGACCCAAGUUCCUCAGAAUUUAAGCUUUUAGAAAAUGGAAAUUUAGUUCUGUUAAACCAGUCAAAAUUUGUAAUUUGGUCGACAGAGUCGGCUUCAAAUGGGAAUGUUUCAUCCCAAGUAAUGCUUGGGGAUGAUGGAAAUUUUGUAUUGAGAACUGGGGUUAGGCCAUCUCAUACUAUCUGGCAGAGUUUUGAUUGCCCGACUGAUACAAUUUUGCCUGGUGCAAAGAUUGGAUACAAUAGAAUAACCAAAAUGCGACAGUCACUUACUUCUUGGAGAAGGUCAAUUGAUCCUGCAAAGGGGUUAUAUUCGGUAGAGCCAGACCCCGAUCGAGAUGAGUAUUUUAUCAAGUCGAAUCAGAAUCAGAAUCGGUCUUGGAGUAGUGGGACAUGGAAUGGAAUAUUAUUUAGCUUAAUUCCUGAAAUGAGAUUAAGGUAGUGUUUGUUUCAUUAAGCAUUAAGCAUUAAGUGCUUCUUAAGUGGUGGACAAAGUUAAAAUUCAGAAAUAAGUGUUUUUUAAGUUGUUUGUUUAGAACAAGCAUUAAGAACUAAUUGGGAUAUUUCAGCGAUUUUGGCCCAGCGAAAAUCUCAGGCUUAAUUUAACUUCUUAAUGCUUGUUGUAUUAUUUAGACAAUUCUACCCUUAUAAAAAUUGUUUUUAUCAUCCAUAACCAUUAAGUAAUGUCACAGUCAGAUUCAUUGGCUUAGUUAAUGGCCUUUCCUUUGUCUGAUCACUUUGAAAUUUUUACCAUAAGUUCCUGAAGAUUUCUGUUAUAUCAUAUCUAAAAUUUAGAAUUUUUAGACGAUCAGUUUGAAAGUUACAUAUUUUUUUGUGGUUGUUAUGUUUUACAAGAAAAAUUACGUUACAGUCAGAUUCGUUUUCUUAAUAAGGGGACUUUCUUUUGUCUGAUCACUUUAAAAGUUUUACUAUAUGUUCCUGACGAUUUCUAUUGUAUCAUAUCCAAAAUUUGGAAUUUUUAAACGAGUCGUUUGAAAGUUACAGAUUUUUUUGUGAUUGUCAUGUUUUAGAAGAAAAAUUACAGUCAGAUUCGUUUGCUUAGUAAGGGAUCUUUCCUUUGUCUGUUCACUUUGAAAUAUUUUCCAUAUGUUCAUGACGAUUUCUGUUGUACCAUAUCCAAAAUUUAGAAUUUUUAGACGAGCCGUUUAAAAGGUUAAGAUUUUUUUUUUUAAAUAUCAUGUUUUAGAAGAAAAAUUGGCGUGUAUAGUUUUGUUGUUAGAACAUUUUUAUGUUUGUACGACAUAACAAUAUAGUGUAGUUACACAAAUAUUUUGGCUAAGGGUGAACAUUCUCAUCUGAAGCACAACACUGAAUGGUCAACUUGCGCAACCAGAGUGCAAAUCAACUUUAGGUUUUUGGGUUAUGUGAUAAGGUACUAUGUAUUGUCAAAAUACUUUUCCAAUAAUAGGGUAACAUGGUCAAAAUCACACUUAUGCAUAAACAAACAAAUCAAAAACAGAACUUCUUAAAAAUGAUAACCAAACAACUUUUCCAGCAUUCAGUGUUCAGCAUCCAGGAUUAAGUAUCCAGCAUUAAGCAUCCAACAUUCAGUAUCCAGCAUUCAGCAUUUUAAACAAACACACCCUAAUUUACGGUUUGAAUUUUAGGUAUGUUAAGAAUGAGAACGAAAGCUACUUCACUUGUGAUGUUUUCAAUUCUUCUAUACCUUUUAGACUUAUGAUGAGUUGGUCAGGGCAACUUCAGCAUUUCGAAUGGGCUGAAAGCAUUCAAAGUUGGAACUUGUUUUGGUCAUCUCAACCAAGACAAUAUCAAUGUGAAGCUUACCUUAUAUACGGAUAUUGUGGUUCAUUUAGUGUGUGCGACCAGAACAACUUACCUUUGUGUAGGUGUUUAAACUGGGGUUUCAAACCACAAUCUCCAAAGGAUUGGAAUUUGAGCGAUUUUUCUGGUGGAUGUGUGAGGAUUAACAAUUUGCAAUGUAAGGACGAAGUCGGUUUUCUCCAGGAUUACCAACAAAAUGGGUUUUUCAAUCAACUGUUAAACGACGCUAUUAAAACUGCUGAUGAUUGCAAACAGUUUUGCUUGGAUGACUAUUCUUGCAAUGCUUAUGCCUUCAACAGUUCGUGUUUACUUUGGAAGAGAGAUGAGUUUGUCCGACCGCCAUUACAAAAAGAUCCAUUACAAAAAGAUGAAGGCCAACCUGCUGUCUAUAUCCAGCUCAGAGUAGCAGCCUCUAUGAUCCAAAGUUCAACCUCUGUGGUACCAAGGCCAACUUCCGGAGGUUAGAAUUUCUGAUUACUGUUGAUUAAUUUAAGCUAUUGAUUUUUUUUCCUUAAGGGGUGAUAAUAUAAAUGAAGAAUAAGGUGUACAAAAACGAGGUGCUAGUACCAGUUACAUCAACGAAAUCUGUAAUACACAUCGGACUAUCUAAUUAAUGGAACAUUUGGCAAAUUGUUCGAGUCAAACCAGGUCUUACAGCCAUUACCUAGAUAAACACCUUUAUCCACACAGAAGUCUACUGUGAAGUUUGCUUCCCUCUUUGAUGCUGCUUCAGAAUCUGUUUCAAUCCAGAGCUGGUCCAACCUUUCUCUAUUGCAUUUCCAAGUCCUCCAUAAUGCACCCAUCCUGCUUGGCAUAACAUUGUGAGCAAACUUCCCAACAAGUGACAAGUCAUAGCUGGUGCCAUAAUGUGUCUUUAAAUAACGUAUACGAAUCAUCUUUUACCAUUAAUCUUUAGCAUAACAUGCAUUUUGGAAAUAAUGUAGUGACUACAAAAAUACUCAUUUUAGAAUAACAAUGAAAAAGCUUGAGAAGCAUUAUCAUUUUGUUCAUUUCCAUUUACAAUUUUGGUCUACAGGUAAAAAACCACUGCAGGCCUACAUCAUUGUACUCAUUGCUGGAUCGAUUUUUGUUAGCAUCUUCAGUUGUUUUUGGUUUGGAUAUAUAAUGAAACAAAAAGGUAAACAGUUCAAUGAAUCAUACAACUAACUUUGUUUCCAUAUUAUGUUUUAUUUUAAUUGGUUAUUAACUAAAAAACAGAAAAAUUCAGGUAAACUCGGAUUUGAAACAACAGAAACAUCACUAGCAGAUUGCCAGAUUUGCCAGUAGAGCAUGAACCAGAACAAGGCAAAUUAGACCUACCUUUGUUUGAUUUCAAUGCAGUUGCAAUAGCGACAAACAACUUCUCAAAUAAGCUUGGGGAGGGAGGGUUUGGUCCUGUUUAUAAGGUAAUAUCAAAUUUUAAUCACCUUGGUCAAGUACGAGUUUGCAAAAUAAUCCUACAAUUACUGUGUAUCUUGUGAGUGAUGAACUUAAACAUAUUUUCCGCCCUCUAUUACCGCAUUGCAAGAACUGUUCUAGUCAUAUUCCAGUUGCUACUACAGGUUAGCACAUCAACACCAGGAACACAUUGGCAUAGACACCCCCACCUUCAAUAACAACGAAAGAUUGCAUGAUGCAAAAUGAAAGUGGACACAUACACAUUAGUUAAUACCCUUAUGAUAAAUUUAUCCAAUCUGUGGCGUAUAUUAGGUUCCUCUGCCAUGAUAAAUGCCCUUGUGUAAAUUUAUCUUCUUUCAGGAAGAAAUGGAUAUCAAGUUUAAUUAUUUGCGAUUUUGUCUUUCAUUUAUCUUUUUUUUUCCGGGUAAGCUGCUAGAUGAACGAGAGAUCGCAGUGAAAAGAUUAUCGAGAAGCUCUGGACAAGGUUUACAAGAAUUUAAGAAUGAGCUCAUGUUGAUAUCCAAACUUCAACACAGGAACCUUGUUAGGCUUCUAGGUUAUUGCAUUGGUAGAGAAGAGAAGAUUUUAUUCUACGAGUACAUGCCUAAUAAAAGUUUGGACGCCUUUCUCUUUGGUAUGUCGUCCAUAAUCUCUUUUCAAGAUUUACCCUUUCUCGAUUCUUUUCAAUACAAGAACUCAAUGAGGUAACAAUAAUAUGGUGGAUCAACAAUAAUAUCUUCUAAUAAAUGAUAAAUAGAAGUGUGGGUUCUUCCCUUAGGCGUUGGUGCAAAGUAUGUUCUGGUCUUACCUUGCUGCUCGAUUAUCUCAUUUGGUGGCCAGGUCCUUCUCAGCAAUUCAGCUCACCACCUUGGAGUAGUACUGAGUAGAAUUAGGAAUAUUAUGUGUUGUUCUCAUUACGAUACCUUUUAAAAGUACAUGUUUAAUACUUAGCACUAGGCUAAGGACUAAGGUCCUAAUGUACGUUAACGUUUUUUUACAUGUUCUGAUGAAUAUGAAAAUCAGAUCCCACCAAACAUAUUCUGCUAGAUUGGAGCAAACGCUUUCGCAUAAUUGAUGGAGUUGCACGCGGCCUUCUAUAUCUACACCGUGAUUCUCGACUUAAGGUGAUUCAUCGAGAUUUGAAAACCAGCAACAUUCUUUUGGAUGAGGAUAUGAACCUCAAAAUAUCCGACUUUGGUCUGGCAAGAAUUUUUGGUGGAAAACAGAUAUUGGCAAAUACCAGUAGGGUAGUUGGGACAUAGUAAGUAUUGAUUAUACAUAUUCUUGGCAUCACAUAACUAGGUUCAAGACUUCAAGUACAACUUCACCUUUUCUGCAUCAACCUGCAUUGCUCAUAGUCUAAAUUAUUUCGCAAUCAUUAUAUGUGUAGUAGAUACAUGUCGCCUGAGUAUGCCAUGGAAGGGAUAUUUUCUGAGAAAUCUGAUGUCUUUAGCUUUGUAGUCUUGCUUCUAGAGAUUGUGAGCAGUAAGAAGAAUAACAACUUCUAUUUACUUGAAGAAUCAUACAAUCUUCUAGGAUAUGUAAGUUAACACAAUUUUCAAUUCUAUUUGGAACUUACAGUUUAGUACUUAUAGAUUCCGUUAAUAUUGGUAAUAUUGUUUACUAGGUAUGGCUAAAGUGGAAGGAAAAUAAGGUGCUGGAGAUAAUGGAUCCAACAUUGGCCGAGUCAUAUAAUAUACAACAAUUGAUGAGAUGCAUCCAUAUAGGACUUCUUUGUGUGCAAGACCAUGCUCUUGAUAGGCCAACCAUGUCUGCAGUUGUUUCCAUGCUUGGUAGUGAGGGAACUCUUCCUCUUCCGAAGCAACCUGCAUUCACUAUUGAAAGGUCACAAUUCUCUAAAAUUCAUUUUAAUAUCAAUGAUGCAGUAUCUAUAAAUUCUGUUACUCUCACAAAUCCUGUAGGAAGAUAAGAUGGUGAGCAAGAGUACGUAUAAAACACUUGGCAUAACAACUAUCCUGUUAGAAGUUUAUUUAGCUGAUGCAUUAUAUCAAGAUUUAUUCGGUUAGAGUCAUAUGGAGUCGAACGUUAAAUUAGGGGUUUGCAAUUGCACCAUCAUUAAUGGUCUAUCAAGUAAUUACUUGAUGACGUGGUUCCUGACAUUGGCACUUUCUUUUCUAUAAAUCAAUAACACUGCAUCGCUAAGCUCAUAUUGAUCCACUCAAUUAAUCUGUAUAAUUGUUUUUUUCAUAUUUCAGACCCUAAGAUUCUACAUCACCCGAAUAUUAAGCAACAAAGAACAAACAACAACAAAUUUUUAGAAAUAAGAUAUUUAAAGGUACAUGAUGCCUUCUUUGAGAAACAAUUUCCCAAUCAGUCUUCACCUGGUACAUAUAAGUUUAACAUAAUAAUUUAAUGUGUGAAAAAAAAAAAAAGAAAGAGCAACUUGAAUGAAAGUUUGUUUCCCACACUCUUCCAAAGCAGAGAGAGGUGCCAUCUUUUACACUCCCAUAUCGUCAUUAAUGUUAUCCACAUAAAUUGUUUUCCAACCUAGAUCCUUAAGCGGGCAUAAAUAUGUUAAGAAAAUGAAGGAGUAGUAUAUGUUCAUCGAUCACUUGUACUUUUGUUAUCUUCCAAUGUCAAUGUGCAGUCAACGAAUCAGUUUUUGUGUAAUAUUCCAUGACGCAUCCAUCACCCAUUUGUCCCUACAUAUUCAGUAAUUUGAAGAGGUCAGUUCUUACAUAUUCAUGUUAAAAAACUGGGGGUUUAUGGAUAAGUGUGAUGAUCAACUAUAUGUAAGUGUGUAUCUGAUGAUGCGUUACCAAAAAAAAGUGUAUCUCUGAAGAUGAUGUGAAGGAAACAUUUUGAAGGAUGGUUGGUUUUUCAAGGAGUAGAUAAUCAUAUGAUUCAAUGGGAGAACGGAAAAAGAGAUAAAGUCCCAUACACUGGAGUGUUGCGUAGUAAUCUUUGACUUAUCAAUUAAAAUCAUCCAAUCCCCAAAAGAAAAAUUAAAAUGGUGGAGAAUAAAAGCUAAUGCCUGGUAUAAAUGCUAACACAUAUCCUUGUGGCUCCAUCACACAAAAUUCAUGGAUAAAUUAAUUUUAGAAAAAAGAAUAAAAAAUGAGUGGUUAAGGUUGGUAAGAUUCUAGUGCAAGUUCUGUGGUGCACACUUCUGUAAAUAGAGGAAUUAAGAAUAUGGAUUGAAAAGCAAGAAGAUGUACCUUGUGUAUGUGUAAGCUUAUUGAGAGGUUUUGGUAGGUUUUUUUAUCUUAUUGCUCCCAAACCAUGCUCCUUUUCUUGGGUCACUUUCUUCCCGACCAUUAAGAACUUUGGAUUUACUCCAUGGCCAUUACAUACAACAGACUUUGGUAGAUCCUGGGUUGCUGCAGAUAGACAAAAUACCUGUAGAAAGAUCAGCCCCAUUUAAGUAUGAAACUUAGGGAGCUAAAAAUAAUAUAUAAAGUAUACAGAUGACAUCAGUGGGACAGGAAAAGAAUCAAUAUUAGCCAAUAUGUAACGCCCCGGGAUUUCGUCCUCGCUCUUCCUCGCUCUCAUCCUGGUGUGUCGAGCACUCGCUCGCUAAUGUCAAUAUUCGCUAAUGUCAAUAUUGUCCCUCUUUAGUCACUGCGGAUAUCCAGCAGUAGAGGGUUUUGGAUCAGGGCCCACCUAUGUGGUUUACCCCAAAAGACCUUAACAUUAGGUAGAGUAUGGUUAAGCUCUAUAUACUACCAAUACAACCACUUCCUUGACAAUGUGGGACUAACACCAACUCAUGGGUGUUACACAAUAAUAUGCAACAACAAUUAGGCAACAAUCAGAUAAGUUAUAGAAUCAGAUAAGUUAUAGAAUCAAAUUGUGGACGUUCUCAGUUGAUGAGCAUUAAGAAAGUACCUUGUGGCAAUAUGCUCUUGCGAUCCAAUUAAAUAGAUACUUCAUGAGAAAAGCUUGCACAACAUCAUUUUUCUCCCUCUUGAUAUAUAGCAAUGGUUAAACUUAUCAGAACAACGCUUGUCGUGGUAGUACCAGUUAAGGUGCUCUGGUUCUUCUAAUAUAUCAAUGUCAGCUUCCUUAGAUGAUAUAAACUGAGAAGUUUCCCAAGCAGGCAUAAUACUCCACCACUCUUUAGAAAACUAAAACCAAGAACACAACAUGGAGUUUAAUUAUAGACUAAAGUUUGUUUUAUUUACAAUGAAUUACACACACAAAAUUGAUACCUUUCAUGGAUAAAAUGAGAUCAUAAAAUCUGCCUUGAUGUCAAGCCUUUCUUCCAGCCAGUUCCGUAUAGGCGUAUAAUUUAGGUUUUGGUCACCACUUUUUAGUAUAAAUUAGGUUUUGGAGCCGGUUUUUUUCUUUAUUGGGGUUUAGAGCUCAUUUUCGAACCAACAACUAAAAAAACCCGGUUGAACCGAAAAUAUUUUCAAAAUACCUAAGUUUACCCCUGAAACUCACGUGAUCUGCACGUUAUCACUAACCCUAAUAUAGUUUUGAUCAGGGGUAUUUUGGCCAUUAUAAACAUUUACUUGGGUCAAUUGUCGGUUCAGCUCUAAACCCUAAUAAAGAAAAAAACCGGCUCCAAAACCUAAUUUAUACUAAAAAGUGGUGACCAAAACCUAAAUCACCCCGUAUAUAAACUUAUGGAGACCUGAAUGUUAAACUAUUUGGGUACACAAGCUCCUAGUUGGAUUUACAAAGCCAUCGCACCAACAGUGUUACAUUUUCCUUUGCUGACUUGGCUAGGUAUGCUACACGGAACACAAUGGGUUUACAGCAGUACCAGUCAUCCAAGGGGUGGCAAGUGUAAAUGCUAUUGCCAUAAGUACAAUCAUUAUGAUACACCUUCCACUCCUUUGAUAAACCACCGAUAGUUUUCAGGUUGGUCAUCGCCAAAGUAAGGCUUCAUUGUCUCAUAUUCAUCUUCAGUAGUAUGAAAAGGCGGGGGAGAUCCAAAGUUAAAUAAGCACCUGCAUGUAAUGCAAGACCAACUCCAAAUGCAGUCACAAUUAUGACUCUGAGAUUUUAUAAUCAAAAUGGUCAAAAUGGAAGAGUUAUUGCCAAUAAUCAAAAUGGUAGAAUUAUGACUCCAUGAGAUUUUAGUAGAAUUAUUGCGAAUAAUCAAAAUGGUCAUGACUCCAUGAGAUUUUAUAAGGAACUUUACCCCUGCCAACCAUCCUAGUUAGUUUUAGUAGAAUUAGUUUCUCAUGCAAAUAAACAAUAUUCACAUUGCUUUGAGCAAGCAUGAUGAACCCUAAGAUAGUUGUAAAGCUUUGGUUAAGAAUCAAAAUUGUAGAAUUAUUCACAAAUAAUUUUUCCAUUAAGUACACAACAAAUUAUGGCAUUAAGAGUUGAGUCGUACGUGUUGAGAGAGAUAUCGUAAGGGGCAGAAAACUACCUCUUUUAAGUACAAUCAGAUAUGCUCCUUGAGAGUUGUAAACUUAGAAAGUAAACCCACCUUAACCGGCACCUUGGUCAAUGGAAGAAAAGAGGACAGAGAAGAAGAUGAUCAAUGUCUAGGAUCAUACUAAAAAAUAAUUUUGUUGGUUGUCAUCACAGAUUUGAGCAUGGAAUCGACAGUAUUGAUUGCAUCAUCACUAUUAGAGCUUCUUGGAUUAUGCUAAAAAAUUACUUCAAGAGAAAAAAUCUCCUAACAAUAUUAAUGGAUAUUCAUCCAUCAAUCGAAACUAAUAAAAAUAUAUUACAAAUGAAUCAUUAAAACAAUAUGAUAAACGUAACAAACCCAAUCGACACAAAUAAUCAAUUGAAUAAAGGUAGUAUCAGGAAUGACAGUCUUAAACUGAAUAAAAAAAAUUAAAUAAAAAGGCAUUCCUAAUUUUGAAUAUAUAUAUGAGAUAUGUAAAAGCUACUUAGGAAGAACCUUAGCCUUAAAUGUAAAAAGUAAAGGCUACUUAGUAAACAAACCUGGUUGAAUUGUUUUGAUCGGAUUAUGGACUCUAAACAUUCAUUCGCGAUCAGAAUUCUGUCGACGCUGACCAACAAACCCACUCUCUUCAGCUGAUAUAGCUAGGGGAGGACACUUUUAAGUAUUGACACCAACACCUUUGAUACAAUUUUGUAAAUAAUAUAAGAAUCGGGUAUUCGGGUGUUAGUAAUUAAAUUAUUAUGUGUAUGAAACAUCCCAUUUCAGCUAUUUACCUGCACGCUAAAAUUUAUGGUUCAAAAGUCCAUUUGUUUAUAAACCUUACUGCAUAGUGCAUACUUAUUUAUCAGUCACUAUGAGCCUAUAAACUACACAGUCUUCGAGUGCUUAUUGAGCCUAUAUACGUAGAAUGAGACUGUAGAGCCUAUUGGAAAAAGUACAACUAUACUACCUAUGAGCCUAUAAACUACACAGUCUUGGAGACCAACAAAAGUCAAAAACUAUCACGAUAGAACCAAUAGCCCCAUAGAAGAAAGUGAAAAUAAAGCUAUCAAACAUUAGAUUAUAAGGCAUUUAAGGUCUACUAUGUCCAAAUUAUAUUGUCAACUACUUGGUGGCUAAAAGGUCUUAAUGGUCAAUAGACAUCUUAAAUGUCGUAUCUUCUGUCAUAUAAAUACCCAAAAUCAGUCCAAAGUUGAUUUAUCUCUUCAAAGGUAGUCGUCUUAGGUUUUAUGAAGUUGUAUGCAUUAAAGCACCAAUUUUGUAUUAUCAUUAUACCUCUUGUAUACUUAUCAUUUUCGUCAAUAUCAUACAACAUGGAUAUAGAACACAAUCUAUUCUUGAAUAAACCUACCCAAUAAUUAGCCAUAAAUAUAUAUACCUUGGAUGAUUUUGUUGCGAAGGAAUUAAUAUCAUGUAGUUCAUUUCUUCUCAUGUUCCUUUCUUGAAUUUAUGUUAUUGUUGCCCAUUUCAUUCACCGUGGCUCCUGCGCACAACAAAAUAAAUAGAAAUUGAGAUUGGAAAUAAAAAAUUAUUGUUUUCUUUUGACAGAACAGGUUGUGUAAGAUUUUUCACAAGCACUGCUUCUAGAUAGAGGUAUAAAAGAGAGAAAAACAAAGAAGAAGAAAGCUACAGAGAGUAAGCUUAAAAAAAAACUCAAAUGGUUCCGUCAACCAGGCCUAAAAAGGUAUUUUCGUCAGAAUCUGGUAAGUAAAUUCUAAAGCUCGAUUCUGGUGGGUUAGGAAAUGCCCUCGAAUUUUUUGACGUUUAAUAUAGUAGAGUACAUAAAUAGAAUAGAUAGAUUGGGGUCUGUGUUCUACCUUUCUUCUUAUACAUAUUUGAGUCCACUGAGUGUUCCAUUUACCGUUCCUCCAUGAAACUAUCCCAUUUGAAGUUAAUGAUUUGAAAAGGCAUGGACAUGUCAGUCAUGAAAUUCUGAAAGAAUUCAUCUAUUGACUACAUGCAAAAAUGGAUCAUUAAGCUUGAAAUCUGUGUAAUUUUAUGAAGAAUCAAACAAAGCCAAGGUAAAGUAUGGCUUUUCUGGAAUGACUCGUACAAGAUCACUCAUAUCAGUGAGUCCAAUCAAUGCUGCAAUGUCCUCAUUGAACACAUUGGGCUUCAGAAUUGUUGUAUGGCAUCCCUAGUCUAUGCUGAGUGUCCAGUUUUACUUCGAAGACCUCUGUGGCAGGAACUCCUAGGUUUUGGCAACUCUUCUACCCUACCUUGGUUGGUAGGAGGGGAUUUCAAUGCAGUUGUAGUUUCAGAUGAAAGACUAGGUGGGAAACCAGCCAACCAGGACUCCAUGGAAGACUUCAAUGACUUUAUCAUGUCUGCAGGUUUAGUUGAUUGUGGGUACACUGGCAGCAAGUUUACAUGGUGCAACAACCAACAAGGUACCAACAGGAAGUGGGCAAGGCUAGAUAGGGUAUUGGUUAACACUACUUGGGAUUCUGAGUUCCCCCCUUUAAAAGUUGAGCAUUUGGCCAAAGUAAACUCUGACCAUCUUUCUUUGCUCCUCACUUGUCAACAUUCAGCCAACAGAAGAGGUCCACACCCCUUUAAAUUCAGGAAAAUGUGGACUAGUCAUGAGGAGUUUCUAGCCUUUGUUAAAAAAAAAUUGGAAUUUGGCUGGUUUUUCACCUCUCCCUCUUUUGUCUUUGGACAUGAAAAUUAAAAACAUCAGGUCUAGACUUAAGUGGUGGAAUAAGAAUAUUUUUGGGAACAUCCAUCAGAAGGUGAAGGACUUGGAAGACAAAGUCACCGGACUGGAACACAAACUACUAUCAGGAUGGGACCAGGCUACCUUCAUUGACCUUAAAAAACACCAGGCGUUACUCAAACAAGCUGUAAUUCAGGAAGAUCAAUUCUGGAUGGAGAAAUCUGGGGAGAGAUGGCUCAUGGAUGGUGAGAGAAACACCAAGUUUUUUCAUGCUUCUAUUGCUGUCAGAAAGAAGACACAGGUGGAGAGACUUAUGCUGACAGAUGACCCUAAUUCUUGGUGUGAUGACCUUGAAGAAAUACACCAGGCAGUAGUUACUUUUUACCAACACCAACUUUCUUCCCAAUGAUGCAAUCUUGGUGAUCCUUGCAUUGAAGUUAUCCCCACCAUGAUAUCCAACCAGGAAAAUGAUUUGCUCCUGGGGGUUCCUACAAUGGAGGAGGUCAAGGAUGCAGUUUUCAGCCUAUCAACAGACAGUGCUCCUGGCCCUGAUGGACUCACAGCUUACUUUUACCAGUCUUGUUGGAUUUAGUAAAGGAGGACACCAUUCCUAAAUCUUUUUUGGCAAAUUUCAUAUGCAUGAUUCCAAAGAUAGAUAAGCCUGUCAGACUGGUUGAUUUCAGGCCCAUCAGCUUAUGCAAUGUCUCCUACAAGAUUUUCUCUAAACUCAUUACUAGAAGAUUGACAGACAUCCUUCCUAACAUUAUUUCAGUAAAGGGCAGACUGAUUACUGAGAAUGUUAGCCUGGCUCAAGAGAUGAUGCAGUAUAUUACUCACAAAGUUACAGGAGGUAAUGUGGCUAUAAAAUUGGACAUGGAGAAAGCAUUUGAUAGGGUGGAAUGGUCUGUUAUGUUCCAAGGUUGCUAAAAGGAAACUUUAUGUCCACUAGAGGUCUGAGGCAAGGGGACCCCUAUCGCCAUCUUUUUUCAUCAUUGCUGCAGAAGUACUAAGCAGGGGUUUGACCAAGUCAUUUCUUCUUGGGGACAUUAGAUAUUUCUCAUCUCCUCGAAUGUGCAGGCCAAUCUCCCAUCUUCUAUAUACUGAUGAUGAGAAACUACAAAUAGUGCUAAUAUAACAGUUGAAUAUUCAAACAAAUCAAACAAUAUGCAGAAAGUAAAUAACACACAGAAAUUUUUAACGUGGUAAAACCCAAUAUGGGAAACGUCCACGGUUGUCCUCACGACAACAAAUAAAUCCACUAGAUGAAAAGAGAUUUACAAACCUAUCAACUACCUGCAAUCACUGCGAGUUGACACUACCGGUUAUCUCUAACACCUUGACUUCACCAGAGUACCUUGAUGUACGCACAAGACACUCGACUUCUUGAUGAACACACAAGAAGACUCGAAGCCGAACUAUGAAACAAGCUUACACCAGAGUUCCUUGAUGAACACACAAGGAUACUCGACUUCUUGAUGAACACACAAGAAGACUCGAAGCUAAAUCACUAUUCAACAAUGAAGAAGAAGAUGAAUAGGGAAGAAGAAGAUGAAAGGGGAAGAAGAAGAUGAGUUCAAUCACCAAAACAACCUAAAACAAAACCUAAACAAACUCCAAGAAUAGAUGAAUUGGACGGCCAAAGAACUAACUGAUUCUUUGGAAGAGAAACCCUAUUUAUACUUAGGGUUGGAAAACACAUAAAAUGGGCCGAAAUAGUGAAAAACCACAUUGGACGUACGUACGUCGAUAUGACGUUUGUACGUCUCAAACCGACAUAAACCUGCUGACUACUUGGACGUACGAACGUCCUAAGAAGGUACGUACGUCCAGACCAAACAAACUUUCUGCUGACAUACCAUACGUACGUACGUCCUGAAGAGGUACGUACGUCCUGAACCAAACACCAUACAUGAGACACACGACGCGAAGACAAGGACACGGGACGAUGUGCGUACAACUUGGUUUUCCUAACAAUGAACUCAAGGCGAGAUAACCAUGGACAUCCAAUGUCACAAAAUUGAUGUCAAACAAACUUCGUGCCGGUUUCAGAUGACACUAUUAUUUUCCUGAAUGGGAGGAAAAGUUCUAUAGAAGGAUGCAUGGACUUCUUGGAAGUAUACAGCUCUUGUUCGGGCCAGAAGGUUAAUGCAGCUAAGAGUUCUUUCCUUUUGUCUCCUAAAGCCACACUGGAUUGUAGACAAAUUGUUACAAACUGCACUUGGUUCACCUACAAGUCAGCACCAAUGGAAAACCUUGGUGUACCCAUCUUCCAUGGUAGAGCCAAGGCUUCAUACUUUGAAAAUCUUGUAAACAAGGUGAAAUGGACGAUUGAUGGAUGGAGAAACAAGCUGUUGACCCAAGGAGGUAAGCUUAUUCUUUUAAGCCAUGUUCUUUUUAGCAUGCCUAUAUAUCUGUUUUCUGCUUUUUCUGUCACCAAGAGGGUCAUCAGGAAUCUAGAAGCAAUGUUUGCCACUUUUAUAUGGGGGGAGUUCAAUGGAAGGAGAAAAAGGUGGGUUUUAUGGACCUCUAUCACUAAACCCAAAAAUCAAGGAGGGCUAGGUGUCAGGCCUUUGUCUCUCAUCCUAAAGGCCUUCAUAAUGAAAUCCACUUGGAAUCUAGUAACAUCUAAUUCACUAUGGGCCUGCUUCAUGAGGACAAAGUACAUCUUGGAGAGACAUCUGGUACUGCAUUGAAGAAAUUGUGGAGAUGUCCACAUGGGAGUUUGGACCUGGCAACUUCAACUUCUCACACGAGAACUGGACUAGAAAGGGAUGCCUAACACCUACUAGGGUUCCAAAUGAUUGCAUGUCCCUCAUUCUUCAGGAGGUUGCUGCCUCACAUUUCACUCAUCCUAUGAUUCCUAGAAACCUUCAGAGCUAUUUAUAGGAGAAAUACAACCUUUUACACAAUGCCUCUUCUGAAGAUAAAAGAAUUUGGCCUCUCGCUCCUACAGGGUCUUUCACCAUCAGCAACAGGGCACUCCUGUCUUUAUCUAUAGAAGAGUGUGGGGACAGUUCAUUCCUACCAGAGUUUCUAUGUUUAUAUGGAAACUGCUCCAUAGUGUUAUUCCUACUGAUAAAGCUAUCAAGAGUUGUCAUGUACCUAUGGUCUCUCAAUGCAGCUGUUGUGCUUCUCCAGCUAUACAGUCUACAAUGCACCUUUUCCUGCACAAUGAUUUGGCCAAGCCUCUAUGGUCCCACUUCAAUGGGCUUUUUGGUAUUAUUUGGCCUAGGUUCUACAACAUUAGCAUUGUGUUAUCUACCUGGUACAAUAUUGGAACAGUAGGAUCCAUGGAACAGCUCUGCACCAAUUUGAUCCCUAUGGUCAUUCUAUGGGAAAUUUGGAAGGAGAUGUGCUUUAGAAGGUUUGAUGAAGAUCAUAAGCCCAAUGACACUCAACAUAUCCACAUCAUCCUUAAGGUCAGAUCUCUCAUUUUGAGGCUCAGUGGAAUCUACAUCCCUAAACUGAGGUCAAGCUCUAGCUUUACCUUAGUAGCUAGCCAACUUGGUAUCUCACCCAAAAACCCUCAACUCUCUCCUCCUUUGGUUGUUUACUGGCUACACCCUCCCAACAAUUACAUUGCUCUUAACACUGAUGGCUCAUGUUCGGAUGAAGUAGCUGCUGGUGGAGGGGUUUUAAGGGAUAAAGAUGGCAAGCCCCUGGCCAAUUUUUUUUUCCUACUAUGGUAAUGGUACAAACAACCUAGCUGAGUCCAGGGCCAUUUUCGAGGGACUUCAGCUCUGUGCCACUAUGGGAAUCACCAAGGUUCACCUGCAAACUGAUUCUCUCUUAGCUGCUAAGUGGUUUCUCAAAGCUAUUGAGGUGCAUUGGUCACUUAAGAACUGGUGGAAUAGGAUAUACCAGAUAGCAGAAUCUUUACAGGUUCAAUGUGUUCAUGUCUACAGAGAAGGGAACUACUUGGCUGAUCAUUUAUCUAAACUUGGUGCUGCUAAUAUUAGGGUAUGAUCUUAAUUUUCUUGGCUAUUACGGAAAAUUUGAGCAGUGCUCUCCGAGCAAGUUUUGGGUUCCUUCAAAGUUUUGGCUUCUUAGCCUUCCUACCCUCAUCUUCAGACCCACUGGGACCACAAUCAUCCAUCUCCUUUGGCUGAUCUUCUCUGGCCCCUUCAUCACUGUCCACUCCAUCAUCCUCCUCAUCCACAUCUUCUUCCUCAUCAUCUCCCUCCUCCUGUUGUUCUUUUGCAUCAUUUCCCCCAACCUCAGCCCCAUCAUAGCCAGUCCCUGGAACAAUAGAAGCCUCCCUGCGAGAGUUGCAGUUAUCAAUUCCAUACCUUGCAUAAUAACACCAAGGCCUACAAAGUGCUCUCACCCACUCACCAGUCUCAGUCCUCAACUAUUCCUCCAAUUGAUUCCAAUUCUCUGCUCCUAUCUUAGAAGGUGGUUGUGGAAAGAUAGAACAAAUGAAGUCUUUUACCUCAUCAACAACUCUUUCCACAUCUUCAGCCAGCUCACUUACCCCAUUGUGGUAAUAAUCAAACCCAUCAAAAUGGAAUGGGCAGAGAGAUCUCUUCACAGCUUCAUAUACCUGGUCUUCAAUCAGCGCCGCCAUUAUGUUGUAACUAGACUCAGAAGAAGAAGGAGAAGAGGAGGAAGACAUGUUCUUAAAAAUCCUAUUGAUGGAAAAGCAGCAAGAUGGUUGUUCUUGGAACCAAGGAGGCUUUAUGCAGUUCUCCAUCCUCCCAACCACCCAUUCAAAGCCACUCAGCUUUUGGCGCGACAAUCUCUAGGAGUUGACAUUGGAGAAUGGCUUCUAGAGGACACCCUUGUUCCUGUUGGGCCCUUUAUUUUUCUAGGUCUUGUUCUGUAAGGCAUGCGCAGCCUUUUACUGUAUCCCCUACUUGUAAGAGGUUAGGCCUAAUGUCCCCCUCUAAUUUUAUUGAUUCUUAUUUAAUCAACAGGUAGGGGUCUGCCAAACCCCACCCCCAUUUCGGGGUCUUUUUUUUUUUUUUUUUUUUUUAAAAAAAAAAAAAAACAAAAAACUAUUACAACUUGAUCAGAGUUUUUUUUUUUCCUCCGUAAGAAACGAAUAUAUUGAAUGAAGCAAAAAUGAAAAAUACAAAGACCAAACUUAUGACUAUGUUAACAAGAGGUUUCCAAGCAAGCUGGCUGCCUUUAUAACACGCCAUGGUUUGGUUAAGAGGGAUUACAUCUUAAAUAAAAGGAAUGGGGGUCCUCCAACUCAUAAAGGAAUGGAGGCCGACCAACAUAUAAAACUCUCACAUCUGGUUCCAACUGCGCUGCAAAACUUGAUCAGCGUUCGUUAACUAGCACCUUCAGGUAAAGAGCUUAAAGCUACAAGCAACAAAUAGUUACAGAUUCGGUUUUAGACUCCUUACUAAGACUUUGUUACAGACUCUGUAUAACCAGCAACCUGUCAGAGCCAGUCUCAGCACGGCAGCAAACCUGCAAGAACUUUAUAGCCCUGAACAGAAGACCCUCACCAGAGUUCUUUCAUGACAAUGGGCCGCUGAAACAACAAGUCUGCAAAAGAGAUAUCCCUUCUAUACUCCAUGGUUCUUUGAUCCUAUAUUAAGCGAUGCCCAGAUAGUUCCCUUAAUGACUUCCACUGCCUUGGUUACUUUCACACAUUUUUCUUCAAGUACGCACCAUUACAGAUUCCAUACACACCAGAUACAUUCAGAAGUGCCCCAAUUGUUCAUUGCUGGCAAUGAUUUCAGCAGUUCCCUCACUGAAUUCCAGGACUGCAUAGCAGUGGGCAGUGUCAGCAAUAGUAUUGACAAAAAUCAGCGAUCUCCGUACCUCUUUUCUGAACCUGCAGUGUACAAAUAAGUGUGGUAUUGACUCAUCGCAUUUACAGAGAGCACAUUUGUUAGUCUGCAAGAAAUCCCUUCUUUGAAGCUUGUCCUGAGUAAGGACACACUCCCACAUGAGACCCUAACAAAAGAAUUUGACAUUAGUCGGGAUCUUAGUCUCCCAUACAACCAUGUAAGAAGUCAAUACGUUCAAAUUACAGGAAUUGACAGAGAACUCCUCGUUUUUCUUGUUUUUCCAUCCCAAUUCCCAGACAUCAUUCUCAUCUUUGGAAUGCAAUUCAGCAGGCAGACUAUCGAGAAGAUCUAAUUGCAUUAAGGGAUCUUCUCAAGUGGAGAUUCCAAGUAUGAUUUGCCUCAAAGUGCUCCUUAACCAAGCCAUACUUUAAGGCAUCAUACUUAUAAAUUCUGUGGCAUCCCCCUAGCCAGAGGUGUUUUGCAUAACAACACAUCAUGCCAAAACUGGGUUUUUUUCACCAUUGUGCACCACAAGCUUGAUGUUGUUAAAAAAUCCAUCUUGUGCGAUUUGUAAGUUGUAUCCCUCUCCAAAGACUAUUAUAAGCAUAAUAACAUUAUCAAUAAACAAUAACGAUCAUGAAUCAUAUAAUUAAUCACUACACAUACCUUUGUCUAUAGCCAUUGAUGAUCUUUGAAGCUGCACAAGAUUUAGGUUUCUCUCUCCUUGCCUCUUAAACCCUAAUAUGUGUUGUAAUAGUAAGUGUAUGAGGAUGGAGAUCAUACACCAAUUUAUAGAGGUGGAGAGAGGACCUAAAUCUACAAACCUAAGCCCAUUAGAUCUAGACCGUCCAUCAUAGUUAAGAUCUACGGUAGAUAUGACUUCCACAUAACCUAUUACUAAUUAGCUUAUUUCUAUAUUAAACCAAGGUUAAAGGUACAUGGACCACAUUAUGGGUUGGGCUUUAUAUGUGGAAAUUCCAACAGUCUCCCACUUGGUCCAUAGUAAAAUCUCACAUACGGUUUAAUGUACAUAAGGCACGCAAUAAGAGCUAAAUUAGUUUCCGAAAUGGUUAUCAUAAUACCGUCAUUAAUUAAACCACUAAUAUGAGUCAUGGCGGUUCCACAUCGCAUAAAUGACAUGGUUUUUUCCAUGUACUACGAUAUCAACAAUUUAAUUAACUAGGUCUAUAAGCGGAAGUAACAAUAAUGGUCCAGUAAUGUCUUCGCAAAAGACUAUUUCUGUCAACAAUUAUCCAUUCACAUACAUGUACAUAAACAAUGGAAAACAGAAAAUUCAGAACUUAAUCAAUAAUAAUGAGCUCAAAAUAAUGUCAAAUAAUAAGCACUAAGUAAUCCACAAAAUCAUUAAGUUAUGGGUUACAUUCAAAACCCAACUUGUUAACAUGAUUCUAGAAUAUCAUUAUUUCUAGUUCUUAAGUUAGUGGAUUUACUAACACGUGUACUAAUGUGUUCCAUUGACACUCACUUGUUCUAAACUUAAGCCAUAAUCGAUAGGUAUUUUAUAUCAUGUGCUAAACAAUAGAAUACCUAUCAUUCUUACAAAGGCAUAUAGUUGCAACAUUAUUACAAUAAAAUUCAAACGACUUAGAAAUUAAUAACUCUAAGACAUGAUAUAAAGUUUUGCAACUAUACAACAUUGCAUGUAGUUAUUUUACAACAUGCUACAAAUUCGGCUUCUAUGGUGGGUGAAACAAUAAUGUUUUAUCGACUAUCCACACACCCAUUAAAUUCCGAAUUUGUAAAACCAAUCACCUCAAGAUAAUUAAAUCUCUUAAAGUAUGAGCAUACGGUUUCUCUUUGAUUCGUUCUUGUUCCAAUUCAUUCAUAGGUUCUUGAUUUAAUUCAAAUAUUCCCCCUCUGAAUUGGAACAUCAUUACAAUUAUGCCUUAACACAUUAAAUCUAUCCAAAACUUUAUUAAUGAAAUCUUUCUGAGACGUUCCAACAAUUAUUGUGAUAAAUCUCGAAAUAUUUUUAUUUCUAUCACAUAUGACGCAUCACCAUAACUUUCAUUGCAAAGUGUUUAGACAGAAAAAAAUGUUUACAUAAACGAAAAUCACUGCUGCGAAACAAUAAAUCAUCAACAUACAUAAUCAAAAUAAUAAACUUACUCCCACUGAACUUUGGGUAUGUACAUUAAAGCCAAACGUUUGAUACUAUUAAUCAUUAGGUACCAUUUUCGAGAAGCUUGUUUUAAGUCUGUAUAUUGACUUCUUUAACAAAUAAAUUAUGUGUUCUUGUUCUUCCUUUAUGAAGUUGUGUGGCUAAUUAAACCAUGUAGACUUUAUCCAAAUUUUCAUUCAAAAUAUCAUUUUCACAUUUAUUUGGUGUAACUCUAAAUCGAAAUGAGUCACCAAUGCCAUAAUGAUUCUAAGAUAAUUCGUCUUUAACAUAUAAGUGAAGGUUUCACGCACGAGAAAGUAAUGCCACCAUAUUGAGUAAACUGUUUGGAUAUAAGUCUUGUUUUAUGGCAUUCAAUAGAACCUUUUGAGUCAAUUCUACUAACCCCAGACUUAGUUAAAAUCCACACUUAAUUUAUCUCUUCAUUCAUGGCAUGAAUCUUUUUAUCAGAAUUACUAUAAGUAAUGGUUUGUGAAAAUGUAACUAGAUCAUUAAAUUCAAAUUCUUGUAAAUAGAACACGUGGUCAUCCAAAGUAGCUGGUCGUGAUCUUUAAGAUCUUUUUAAUGCUACUUCUUGUGUGUGUUUACAUUCAGUUCAAUGACAUUAAUUUCAUUAAGUGGUUGAGGAUCAACUUGUUGUUUAUUGUUGUUAAGCAGUGCAACAACAUGAGGAACAACAGAAGUAACAAUAAUAUCAUUACAAAAUUGAGGUAAUAAAAUUGGUACCAUAAUUUUUUUAAUGAUUACCUCUUUGAUAUGAUCACUCCCACUUAUUUUGUCAUUCAUAACGAAUCAAUAAUUUCCAGUUUCAAUAAUUCUAGUGGCCGGUAUGGUUAGGAUAGUAAAAUCUAUACACUUUGGACUCUUUUUUUUGGAUAAACCCUAAAUGUGUAAAUGUCUUGGACUAGGUUUCCAACUUUUUCAUAGUUAAAAAAAAAAGUGUCUUUGUAACUGUCUUACUAGGAACCUAAUUCAAUAUAUACACUACAGUUCAUAAAGUAUACAUCCAAAAUGAUAUGGGUAAGUUAGAAUUACUCAUCAUGCUUCAAACCAUAUCCAUAAGAGUUUGAUUAUGCCUUUGAGCUACACUAUUCUGUCAUGGAGAACUAGACAUUGUGUAUUAGGCAUAAAUUCCUAACCGUUCUAGAAGUUUUGCAAAAGAACCGGGAUGUUGUCCCGUGUCAUCAUACGUUCCAAGAAAUUCACCACCUCUAUCGGAACAUAUAAUUUUCACCUUUCUAUCUAAUUGUCUCUUAAUUUCAGUUAUGUAAAUUUAAACAACAUUUACAUGUGAGACUUAUCAUGCAAUAGAUAGUUAUAGUAACAAGAAAAAAUCAUCAAUAAAGGUAAUGAAAUACCUUUUUCCACCAAAAGAUGGAACAUCAAAAGUCCACAUAUGUCUAUUUGAAUUAUUUCAAGAAGCUUACUUCUUAUGGCUCUUUUUAGUGUGUUUGGUUUGCUUAACUUAAUGCAAUCCACAUACACCAAAAUUAGUGAAGUCAAGAUUCGGGAAAACCCUUUCUUUUACUAGUCUAUUUUUCAUCUAGAUGUAUAAUCCAGUCUUUUAUGCCACAAGAAAGAUAAACAUUAAUCAUAAUCAAUUCACUAAGUAUUAGGAAUACCAAUUAAGUUUGAUCGAAACAUACUAAAACCAAAAGCUUACCUUUUAUAUCAAACAAACGCCAUAUUCACAUAAAUGGCAUUAACACACACAUAAUGUAUAUCCAAACACAAUUAGAGAAUUGUUCAUUCAACUCCUUGAAACAUGAAUUAAGCUUGAGUGACAUGAUUAUAAUGUUGUUUAAGUCUUGCCUAUACUUGAACUAGUAGUCUCGCCAUUUAAUUCACAUUCCACUUGUUUUUAAUAGUGUAAUAGUGAAACUAAACAUACUAUGUAGACAAGAAAUUUAGAACAAAUUGGAGGACAAAGUAAUCAUCCACUAACAUGCCUAAAUUCUUUGAUUUAACAACUAAAUUGGAAAACUCAAGGAUACAAUCAUGCAUACUAUAUAUGAGUACUAUCAAUAGUAAUCAGUUCAACAAUUAACUUUUCAGCUAGCAGUGCCAAAAUGAUUCUUAAUAUUAUUCAUCAACAAUUAUUCACAUAAACAUUGAGUUUAAUUUGCAUGUUUAAUCGAGUUCAUGCAUAAUGCAUAAUUUUCUCCAUUUUACUGUUUUUAUAAAAAAUAACAGUAGAUUCAACAAUAAGGAAACAUAUGCCAAGAUCUAGAACUCCCACUAAAAUCAACUAGACUUAUUCAUUCUAGUUCAUUACAUUAGUCUUCUUAAGGAUAAAAACAUACAAAAUAUACGAAAUAUAAGAAUAAUAGAACGUGAAGAAUAAACAUGCUCACAACAUUAGUCAACACAUUAAUUAAACAAAUAUGACUAAGAUUUUUAGUAAUACUAUAAAUGGGUGACAUAUCACAUGAUCAAAAUAAGCAUGGUAUCUGUGGAUAUCCUACACUCAUUUAAUCACAAAUACGUGCAACCCCUUAAGUUUAUCCAAUGUAACAUAUGCUUGAUCUACCUGUGGGUAGCUCAAUAAUGCAAGUGAAUAAAUAGGCAAUAAGGUACUUAGUCUGACAUUCAACACAAUAUUUAGUUCACUGUGGUGAAAACCAAAUCAUAAUAUGAAUGGUCAAGGAAGCUUUAAUAUUCAUUAAACAUAUUGGAAUCACUGCAAUGGAUACCAAUAGAAAACAUGAUAUGAAUAUAAAACAGAAAACAAUGUCAAUAAUCGUAUUUGGUUCACUGUGGUGAUACCAAAUCAUGAUGAUAUGAAUCUUAAGGGAAUAAACAUGCAGCCGAAUAAAUGCUACAAGAUCAAAAUAUCAUAAUGCAUCUUAUAAGAAGUGCACAAUCUAAUAAAUUCAACUAGGGCACAUGCAUAAUAUGGGUCUUAAAACGAAAGAAUAAUCAUAAGCAUACAAGUAUGAAUUAGGCAUAGAAGUAAAUGACAUUAUAAUAUAAACUAUUACAAAAAAAAAAAUCUAACUGUAAGUCCCAAACACAUUAACUAUGGGUUGUGACUGUAAGGCUUAUGCAAACAUUAAUUCAAAAAUCUUGUGCAAAGAGUAAUUGAAAAUACCAAACUACCAAAACACUAAUGGACAAAGCGUUAAAUCCAAAACAAAAAUUGGUUCAGUUUUACUUUAUGGUAUAUAUAUUCAUAAAAAUCAAUAUUCAUAAACAUAAUUGGUUUCACUGUGGUGAAUACCAAUAAAAACCUUAACACGAAUAUUGAAUAAGAAAAAACAAUUUUGAUAACACUUUAGUUAGAACCACUACUGUGAAUACCAAUGCGUUUCUUGUUAUAAAUAUUACCAUUAUAAUUUUGCACAAUAUUUAAUCAGUAAAAUACAUCAUCAUAAUACAAUUGGUUGGGUUUUUGUCACUAAGUGAGGCACAAAAACCCAAAGUAAUAGUAUACUAUAGGACCAAAAAUACUUAAUAUGGGUUGUAACAGUAAGGCCCAAAACCCAAAGAAUGAUAUACCAGAUUAUCAUCUCCUUUGGAAAGAUGUGUACUACGGCAAUAAUCGAAGUAGGAAAAUUACCCAAAAAAAAAAAACAUUAAACUUUAGCCAGUAAGAAUGAAUGGGGUCUUUGGAACCGGGUUACAUAAGAAUUUAACAUUCUACGGAUUAACAUUAAACUUCAGCUAGUAAAGAAAGUCCAGAUUAAUAAGGAUUAUACGUUACUUAGAAGGGGUACUACCAGACAUGCUAAUAUCAAUCAAUUUUGGGACUACAAAGCAUUAUAUUAGGCUAGUAAUAAAGCCCACAAUUGGACUUAUAUUGCAGUACACACCAAAACCAUAACCCAACAAGAUUAACAAAGUCACUAUUGGACGAAACAUGAUGUUAUAAUUAAUGAGAGUAAUCCUGCUAGCUUCAAACAGUAAUCAUAAUAAUCAUGAGUUAAUUCUAGGAGAAGCAGCUAAAACCAUAUAUUGCAUUAAACAAAACUUUGUUGAGGUUGUUUUGUCCUUAUUAUCCAACUAAUCAUGCAUCGAGAAUUCAUGCACCAUAACACCAUAUAUAUUACUUCCAACCAUUAACCAAAAAUUCAUAAGUGUUCAUAAUACCCAAAGGUCCCAUAUCAAUUAAUUAGUGAUCACGUACAGUCAAAAAUUUAUGAGUCCAAAAACAUACUAACGCUAAUCUUGAUGUAAUUUAUAACGGAAAGAAAUACUACCGUAUUUAAUCACAAGGAAUAUCAUCUUAAUCAUACGAAUCGUCAACCAUAAAAAUAAGAAUUACUGUUUUCUUUAAUGCGGAAUCAUAAUAAACAGUAUUAAAUUAAACGAGGAUGAUAGAACUAAUAACAUGAUUCAUAUUGGCGACUGAUACCAUAUAUAAGCAUAAUAACAUUAUCAAUAAACAAUAACAAUCAUGAAUCAUAUAAUUAAUCACUACACAUACCUUUGUCUAUAGUCAUUGAUGAUCUGAGAAGCUGCACAAGAUUUUGGUUUCUCUCUCAUUGCCUCUUAAACCCUAAUAUGUGUUGUAAUAGUAAGUGUAUGAGGAUGGAGAUCAUACACCAAUUUAUAGAGGUGGAGAGAGGACCUAAAUCUACAAACCUAAGCCCAUUAAAUCUAGACCGUCCAUCAUAGUUAAGAUCUACGGUAGAUAUGACUUCCACAUAACCUAUUACUAAUUAGCUUAUUUCUAUAUUAAACCAAGGUUAAAGGUACAUGGACCACAUUAUGAGUUGGGUUUUAUAUGUGGAAAUUCCAACAACUACAAUCGUAUUGUUGUUUCCUUGGAGCCUUGGAGGUCUUCCCAUUAUCGCUUGUUCUAUACUUCGCUUCUAUCACUUUCCUCCAAAGAGCAUUUUCUAUCACAAACAUCAUCCAGUUAAUACUUCUGGAAGAUGGAACAAUAUCUCUUACCUACAGUUAUAAACCUGAUGCACCACAAUCUAAUUAUUCUCAGCACAUAGAACCUGGUAGUGCUCAUUCUGCUCCCAGUGCUCAAGAACUCGAAGCUGUGAUACUUAUACUUGUGCUCAUAUCCCGGACUCAAGAUCCUCAAGCACACAAAAUUUAAAAUCUCUCUGUCAUUCUCUUAUUCCCCCAAACCUUAAAAGUGCACUAUUUUUCUCUGCAGUCUCUCGUAUUGUGUCAACAAAUACUACUCUUUGGUUAGGAAAUUUUUAUUCACCUAACUUCAAUCAAUCUAGAGGUUUCAGAAAUUUCAAUAUUGCGUAUCUACUCUAUCUUUGUAUGGUCUGCUUCACAUUACCCAAUUAUCAGAGACAAGCGGAAGUUUUUAAUGGACAUUAAUCAAUCAAGUUUUGUUAUUCUCUCCCUUUUUAAAUCCAUCUUUUUUAAUUUGUAUAAUAUAAGUUUGGGUUUUUCAAACCAAUUGAAACGAAAAUUAACUGUCUAGUUGAUUCGUGCGGAAAAAGAAUUUACUGGGAAAUAGAUUUACCAGAUGCAAAUAUUCAGGAAAUAAAGUUUUAUAAACUCACUAUAGUGUUAUAUACUUAUAUUGAUCAUGAAAAUCGUGUAAAUAUGUUUUAGCGAGUGUUCAUCAACAUUGAGCUCCAAUCUUAUCAUUCCGCUUAUUUUCCAUGUAAUCAACCAUGGGAAAUUGAGAUUUCCCAAAAAAUCUAUUUCCCGAACUCGAAUCAAACAUACCUAAUAGAAGUUUCUUAUUGGGAAUCAUAGUACACGCCUAUAUGUUGGUGGAUCCACCUCCCAGUUUGGUUUGGACUACAGACUUACUGUUUGUGCGACCUGUGACGUCGACCCUUUGUAAUAAAAGUCAUGAACCUUCUAUUCUGCCAGUGCUCCACACACACAAACACAAACACACCAAAAGGGACCUCAUUUAUUGACUUAGACAGAAUGACAUGACACCACAAAUCUCAAGAAUUUAUGUCCACUCAAACAGUCAAAAUGCUAAACUAUCAAGUAUGAAUCUUCAAAAUUGUAAAAUACCAUAAUACUGUAGUUCCUUAAUAUCUUGAAUUCUUAAAAAAAAAAAUGAAUUUAUGUCCACUCAGACAGUCAUACAUAAUUCAACUGCUGAAUUAUUUGUGUGAUUCUAAAGGUGUGCGUACAACUCGGUUUAGAAAAUUGAACUCGGUUCAGAAAGUCUUAUCUUAGAAAACUACUAAGAAGUGUUGGUGGUUUGAUGCCACUUAAAUCUUGUCCAUGCCAAUUGUGCAUGUAAGAGAAUACAGUAUGACAUCAAGAAGCCAAACAUGGUUAUUACUAUUAGUAAUCUUCUUCUUCAUUUACUCCUUUAAGUCUGGAACUCAUCUUUGCUUUGCAGUUGAUACAAUCUCUUCAGGUCAAUCUCUCACAUUAGACCAAACCCUGAUAUCUAAAGGUGGUAAGUUUGAACUUGGCUUCUUUAGACCAGGUACUUCUCUUAACUACUACAUAGGAAUUUGGUAUAAGAAUGUCUCUAUACAAACAGUUGUUUGGGUUGCAAAUAGAGAUACUCCUCUUUAUGGAGGAUUUUCACCAGAAUUGAAGCUCUUAGAAAAUGGAAGUUUAGUUCUAUUAGAUGAUUCAAAAACUGCAAUUUGGUCCACAGAGUCGACGUCAAAUGGGAAUGUUUCAGCUGAAGCAGUUCUUGGGGAUAAUGGAAAUCUUUUUUUGAGAAAGAGGGUUAUUAGAUCAACAUCUGAGGUUUUUUGGCAGAGUUUUGAUUACCCGACCGAUACAUUUUUGCCUGGUUCAAAAAUUGGAUACAAUAAAUUAACCAACAAACAAAUAUCACUUACUUGUUGGAGAAGCCCAGAUGAUCCUGCAAAAGGGUUAUAUUCAUUACAUCUAGACCCAUAUGGAGAUCAGUUUUUUAUCGAGUCACAAGGCAUUCGGUAUUGGAGUAGUGGGGCAUGGAAUGGAAAAACAUUCAGCUUAAUUCCUGAAAUGGGAUUAAAAUAUAUAUUCUAUUUUAGCUACGUUAAGAAUGAGAACGAGAGCUACUUCACUUAUGAUCUUUACAAUACUUCUAUUAUUACUAAACUUGUGUUGGAUUUGUCAGGGCAAAUUAAGCAAUUCACAUGGGCUGACAACUCCCGAACUUGGUUCUUGUUUUGGUCUCAACCAAGACAACAAUGUGAAGUUUCUGGAUUUUGUGUGUGUGAUUCCAAGUGUAGAUGUUUCGAUGGUUUCCUACCACGAUCACCAAAUGAUUGGAAUACGAGUGAUUAUUCUGGUGGAUGUAUGAGGAAAACAUAUUUUGAAUGUGGGGAUGAAGUCGGUUUUCUGCAGGAUAACCAACAAACUGCGUUUUUCAAUCAACAGUUUAACGACACUGUUAAAACAGCUGAUAAAUGCAAACAAUCUUGCUUGGAUGACUGUUCUUGCACUGCUUAUGCCUUCAACAGUUCGUGCUUACUUUGGAAAGGAGAUGUGUUUGCUUCACGGAAAUUUGGAGAUGAUGAAGCUAGAUAUAGUAUCCAGCUCAAAGUAGCGGCCUCUGAGAUCCUUACGCAAACCUCUGGUAUCUCAAGGGAAACUUCCGGAGGUGAGAAUUUUGGAACGAAUGGGGGAUAAUUAAUAUCAUAUUUUGUUGAUUAUCGUUUAACAAUUUUGGUCUACAGGUAACAAACCACUUAAUAAGCCCUACAUCAUUGUACUUAUUGCUGGAUCAAUUUUUGUUAUCAUCUUCAGUUGCUUUUUGUUUGCCUAUAAAAUGAAACAAAGAGGUAAACAGUUCAUUGAAUGAUACAUACAACUAAGUUAGUUCUUUUCCAUAAUAUGUUUCGUUUAAUUGCUUAUUAGGACUAACUAAAAAGAGGAAAAUUCAGGUAAUAAACUCAGAUAUGAAACAACAGAAACAUCACUACCAGAUUUGUCAGUAGAGAAUGAACCAGAACAAGGCAAAUUAGAACUACCAUUAUUUGAUUUCAAUACAGUUGCAACAGCUACAAACAACUUCACAAAUAAGCUUGGGCAGGGAGGGUUUGGUCCUGUUUAUAAGGUAAUACUUUUGAAGUUCUUUAACUACUCUGCCGAUAAACACACUUGUGUACAUAUAAUUUAUAAAUUAUAAUUUUUUUUAGGGAGAAAUGGAUAUAAAAAUGAUUUGCAAUUCUGUCUUUCAUUUAUUUGUUUCAGGGUAAACUGCUAGACGAACGAGAGAUUGCAGUGAAAAGAUUAUCGAGAAGCUCUGGACAAGGUGUACAAGAAUUCAAGAAUGAGCUCAUGUUGAUAUCCAAACUGCAACACAGGAACCUUGUUAGGCUUCUAGGUUACUGCAUUGGUAGAGAAGAGAAGAUUUUGUUGUACGAGUACAUGCCUAACAAAAGUUUGGACGCCUUUCUCUUUGGUAUGUCCAUAAUCUCUUUUAAAGAUAUUCCCUUUCUCUAUUCUUUUCGGCACAAGUAUACAUAAAUUACCAUUUCUCUGUCGUAUGUCCAUAAAUGAUAAAAAUGUGAGGCGUGCAAAGUAGGUUCUGCUCUUACCUUGCUGAUCGAUUACCUCACUUGGGCAAGGUGCCUUUCAGCAAUUCACCUCACCACCUUGGAGUUACUGAAUAUACUGUAAUUAGGCAUAUUAGGCAUGGUCCUUAAUUAUUACAUUACCUUUUUAAGGUACAUUUGUAAUUUUCUGCACUAGGCUAAUUAAAGUCCUUAAUGUCUGUUACCCUUUUUUGACAUUUUCUGAUGAAUAUGAAAAUCAGAUCCCACCAAACAAAUUCUGCUAGAUUGGAGCAAACGCUUCAGCAUAAUUGAUGGUAUUGCACGCGGCCUUCUAUAUCUACACCGUGAUUCUCGACUUAAGGUGAUUCAUCGAGAUUUGAAAGCCAGCAACAUUCUUUUGGACGAGAAUAUGAAUCCCAAAAUAUCGGACUUUGGUAUGGCAAGAAUUUUUGGUGGAGAGCAGACAUUGGCAAAUACCAAUAGGGUUGUCGGGACAUAGUAAGAAUUGCUUAUACUUAUUCUUGGCAUCACAUAACUAGGUUCAUAUAUGUACAACUUCACCUUUAUCUGUAUCAACCUGCAUUCCUCAUAUAUAGUCACUUAUUUUACAACUAUAUAUGUAGUGGAUACAUGUCACCUGAGUAUGCGAUGGAAGGCAUAUUUUCUGAGAAAUCUGAUGUGUUUAGCUUUGGAGUGUUGCUGCUAGAGAUUGUGAGCAGUAGGAAGAAUACCAACUUCUAUUUACUGGAAGAAUCAUACAAUCUUUUAGGAUAUGUAAGUAACACAAUUUCAAUUCUAUUUGGAACUUAGAGUUUAGUACUUCCAGAUUUCGUUAAUAUUGGUAAUAUUGUUUACCAGGUUUGGCGAAAGUGGAACGAAAAUAAGGUGCUGGAGAUAAUGGAUCCAACAUUGGCCGAGUCAUAUAAUUCACAAGAAGUGAUGAGAUGCAUCAAUAUAGGACUUCUAUGUGUGCAAGACCAUGCUGUUGAUAGGCCAACCAUGUCUGCAGUUGUUUCGAUGCUUGUCAGCGAGGGAACUCUUCCUCUUCCGAAGCAACCUGCAUUUACUAUUGAAAGGACACAAUUCUCUAAGAUUCUUUUUAAUAUCAAUGAUCCAGUAUCGAUAAAUUCUGUUACCAUCACAAAUCCUGAAGGACGAUAAGUUGAUGAUGAAGAGUACGUAUAAAACAUUCGUCGCAGCAACAAUCCUGUUAGAAGUUGAUAUGAAAUUGCCAAAUUGGGGUCUGUCUUAUACAUAUUUUACUGUUCCUCCAUGAAACUAUCAUGUUUGAAGUAAAUGAUUUGAAAAUGCAUGGACAUGUCAGUCCCUAAAUUAUGAAAGUAUUCAUCCAUUCUGCCAGUGAUCGUCAAGAAUUUGAAGCUGUGGUACAGUACUUGUGCUCAUAUUCAAGGACUCAAGAUCCUCAAGCACCACAAUUUGUACUUUGAUGCCACAAACUGGUACUCAACCUAAUUGUCAUGAGCAAAACAAUGAAAACUUGGACUGAGUGGCUUGUAUCUCUUGAUUAUUCUCCAAAUUUCCGAAUAUAGCAAUGCCUGCAUAUUUUUAUUAUCAUAAGAGUGUUGGUAUGUUUGCCGGGACUAUUUAGGGAGAAUGUACAGCUUAACCUCCAGGCAGCUGAACUGGAAUGUGUAGUUUACGGUAUUUCCUAAGGAAGCAUUUGGGCGGCAAAUAAAACAGAGCAAAAGAAGCAUCAAUAUUAAAACUAAAAUGUUUGGGUAUUAAAUGAGAAAAUUAAAUAUACCCACACUAAGCUAGUAGCAGUAGAAGUCCUUCCUCAAACCUUCAUGAUCAAUCUGAGCAUUUGGCCACAACUUGUAAACCUUGUGUACCACAAUCUAAAGAAAGGCAUGGUUAAUAAUUAUAAUAAUAAUAUGUUUUUUUUUUUUUUUUGGGUGAAAAAAAUACAAAUAGUUUGUCCAUUUCUUGAUCUUCCAUCCCCUUCAACUAUGUACGUAUACCUCUUCUUUUCCAUAGUAGUAGCGUGCACUUUUUUUUUUUUUUUGGUUGGAGUAUGUAGUUCUUUUAAUUCAUAUGCACUUUUUAGGUGAAAAUAAUGGUGGGUGGUGGUGGUGGUGGCAGUGAACGGUGGUGGUGGUGCUACAGACUACAGAACAGACUACUCAAAAAAUCUGUACAGAAAAUGAGGACUCAUGGUACAUGGCACCCAUUUUUAAGGUUAAAUUUUGAAUUCAUCUUACAUUUUUUUAUUAUAAUUAUGAUGAUUUUUACUUUUUAGUAUAUGGUUUAUUGAAUUCAUCUUUGUUCAACAUCCUCUUUUUUUUUUUUUUUUUUUUUAUUUAUUGUUCGAAGUGGUGAGCUGGUGGUCAUGACAUGCUUGGUCGUCCAUGGUAGCGACUACAUUUAUUUCAAAAAUAAUUUUCAAAAGUUGUAUAAUUUGAAUCAGGAAUUAAUACAUUUUAUUUAUAUGUAAAAUGAUUCAAUAAAAUUUUUAGGGAAAAAAUGAGUGUUCUAAAAAACUAAUAGCCACAUACAUGACCAUAUUGUUCUACAAAGACAGAGACUUUUUACUUCCAAAAGUCUACAAACGUUUAGAAAAUGAAUUUGUCCUUUGAUCAGUUGUAGAAUAGUCUUCAUCUGGUUGUUUUGUAUCUGCAUUAUGCAAUAAUAAUGAGGACUUUCUCCAUCUCCUGAGGUAAGAGAAGAGAUGAAAUCAAGAAGCAGAAGAACAACACACUUGUUACUUUUAUUACUUACCUUGUUGUUCUUCUUCUACUACUACUCUAACUCUCCAAGUCAUCUCUGCUUUGCUGCUGAUACAAUCUCUUCAGGUCAAUCUCUCACUUUUAGUCAAACUUUGAUAUCUAAAGGUGGUAAGUUUGAGCUUGGCUUCUUUACACCAGGUACUUCUCUUAACUACUACAUAGGAAUUUGGUAUAAGAAUGUCUCUAUACAAACAGUUGUUUGGGUUGCAAAUAGAGAUACUCCUCUUAUUGAUUCAGUUUCCUUAGAAUUUAAGCUCUUAGAAAAUGGUAAUUUAGUUCUUUUAAACCAGUCAAAACUCGCAAUUUGGUCCACUGAGUCGAAAUCAAAUGUGAAUGUUUCAUAUGAAGGAGUGCUUGGGGAUGAUGGAAAUUUUGUUUUAAGAACUGGGGUUAGACCAUCUGAUGUUUUUUGGCAGAGUUUUGAUUACCCGACUGAUACAUUUUUGCCAGGUGCAAAAAUUGGAUAUAAUAGAAUAACCAACAAACAACUGUCACUUACUUCUUGGAAAAAUUCAAAUGAUCCUGCAAGGGGAUUAUAUUCACUGGAGCUCGACCGGUCUGUAGAUCAGUACUUUAUCCAAUCGAAACUGAAUCGGUAUUGGAAUAGUGGGGAAUGGAAUGGACAAACUUUCAGCUUAGUUCCUGAAAUGAGAUUAAAUUUCAUUUUCAACUUUAGCUACUUUAAGAACGAGAACGAGAGCUACUUCACUUAUAGUCUUUAUAAUACUUCUAUUAUUUCUAGACUUGUGUUGGAUUUGUCAGGGCAAAUCAAGCAAUUCACAUGGGCUGAGGGCACCCAAGCGUGGUUCUUGUUUUGGUCUCAACCAAGACAACAUUGUGAUGUUUACAGAUAUUGUGGUUCAUUUGGUGUAUGCAAUAAGACGGACUUACCUUUCUGUACAUGUUUAGAAGGCUUCGUACCACGAUCACCAAAGGAUUGGUAUAUGAGUGAUUUUUCUGGUGGAUGUGUGAGGAGAAUAUUUUUCCCAUGUGGGAAUGAAAGCGGGUUUCUACAAAUGCAACUAGUAAAAUGGCCUGACAAUCAACGAUCUUUUGAUGUUCCAACAACUGCUGAACAUUGCAAGCAAUCUUGCUUGAAUGACUGUUCUUGCAGUGCCUUUGCUUUUAACAUUUCAAAUAUAUGUUUACUCUGGAAUGGAGAUUUGUUUAAUCAACAGCAAUUCCAAGAUGGUGAUGGUGGAGUAGAACUUAGUAUCCAGCUUAGACUUGCGGCGUCUGAAAUACAAAGUUUGGGAGGUGAGAUUGAAGGAUUGAAUGUGGAGUUCUUCCAAUUUUACUUUCGCACGAUAGAUUUAAGAGCGUCCACUAGCUGUUUUACCAAAUAUUAAAUCAAAUCAUAUCAAUUAUUUUUAUCUAAAAAUAAUCUUCAACACGUGCUGAACCGUUCGAUUUCAAGCACAAGCAUUGCAUCAUAUUCAUAGCUAUAUGUAUAUGCAUGAUUAUAUAGUCAUUUUCUGAUAGAGGCCUGACCAUUUUGUUUACGAUUUUUGUCCACAGGUAAAAAACCACUUAAGGCCUACGUCAUUGUACUCAUAGCUGGAUCGAUUUUUAUUAGCAUCUUGGUUUGCUUUUUGUUUGUAUAUAAAAUAAAACAAAGAGGUACACUGCUAGUUGUGUUCAAUAAUUUAUAUAUGUUCUACAUUAUGUUUUAUUACCAUUAGUUAAGAUAAUCUGGAAAGGAAAUUUCAGGUAAAAUCAAAUAUGGAGAAACUUCACUAGCAGAUAUGUCAAUAAAUCAUGCAACAGAACGAGGCAAGUUAGAACUACCAGCUUUCGACUUCAAUACAGUUGCACAAGCUACAAACAACUUCUCAAAUAAGCUUGGGCAAGGAGGAUUUGGCUCUGUUUAUAAGGUAAUACUAUUAAAGUUCCUACAAUAUCUUGAGUUAUGAACUUAAAAAAAAUUAUCAUCCAAUGCAUGAUAAUAACUAUUGUCGCCACAUUACUUAGUUGGACAACUUAGUCUGCGAAUCUAGUCAACAAUUUAUAAAGAGCUCUGUAAAGAAGUUGUGGUCAAGUUAUUAAGAAUAAACUUGAGAAACAUGGACACACAACUUCCACCUUCCAUAAGUAAGUACGUAAGGUUGCAUCAUGUAUAUGAGAGAGAAUUACUUAUACGCAUUAUUCAUUAAACAAAGAACAGAAGAAGAGGUAGAGAAUGUAACCCUUCUCAAGUUCUUCACUGCGUUUAGUGGCUGUAAAUUUUGAAGAACUCUGCAUUCAAUUUGUUAUCUGUACCCUGUAUAAUUUUCAGGGUAAGCUGCUAGAUGGACGAGAGAUUGCAGUGAAAAGAUUAUCAACAAGCUCUGUACAAGGUGUACAAGAAUUUAAAAAUGAGCUAGUGUUGAUAUCCAAACUGCAACACAGGAACCUUGUUAGGCUUCUAGGAUACUGCAUUGGUAGAAAAGAGAAGAUGUUAUUGUACGAGUACAUGCCUAACAAAAGUUUGGAUGUGUUUCUCUUUGGUAAGUCUAUGUUCAGAUUUAUGUUUUGUCUAUUUUCUAGAUAACUUCAUUUUGUUGAGACGUUUUAAUAAAUCUAGUGGAUGUAUUCCCCACCCAGAGAAUGAGUAUAAACCUAAUAAAUAUGUGAGGAGCGCGCAUUCACUCACCGAUUAUUUCCCCACCUAGCCACCCUUCGCAGAGGUGUCAAUAUAUAUAAGGCCUUAGUGCUGUGUAAGUUGUGCUCCUACCUCUUCACUAUGAAUGGCAUCCUAGUUGUUGUGCCUUUCAACUCCCCUUGGUGGUCGAUUAACUCUCUUAAGCUUAUUUAUGUAUUGCACUAAUUACCAGACCAUGUAAGGUACACUUUUGUGGCACUGGCUUGAAGUCCUUACAUAAUCGUUUUGACAUGCUCUGACUAGUAUGAAAAUCAGAUCCAACCAGACAAAUUCUGCUAGGCUGGGAGAAACGCUUCAACAUUAUUAUUGAUGGUAUUGCACGCGGCCUUAUGUAUCUACACCGUGAUUCUCGACUUAAGGUGAUUCAUCGAGAUUUGAAGGCCAGUAACAUUCUCUUGGACGAGGAUAUGAACCCUAAAAUAUCAGACUUUGGCAUGGCAAGGAUUUUUGGAGGGAAGCAGACAUUGGCAAAUACUAAUAGGAUUGUGGGGACAUAGUAAGUGUUGUUUACUAAUGAGUACUGAUUAUAAAUUUUUUGGCAUUGAGUAGGUUCAUGUAUAUUCUUCUAGUCAUUCCAUAAAUACCAUUUCUCAUUUUCUAGCUUGUAGUAACCUGCAUUCCUCAGAGCCUAAAUUAAUUUCAUGAUCAUAUAUAUAUAUGUAGUGGAUACAUGUCACCUGAGUAUGCCAUGGAAGGAAUAUUUUCGGAGAAAUCUGAUGUGUUUAGCUUUGGAGUGUUGCUAUUAGAGAUUGUGAGCGGCAGGAAGAAUAGAAAGUUCUAUUUCCUUGACGAAUCCUAUAAUCUUCUAGGCUAUGUAAGUACAUAUAACUUUCAGUAGUACAGUACAUUGAAAUUACAAUUUACAAAUAGAAAUUUGUUUUAAUAUUGGCAAUUUGAUUUUGUUCAAGGUAUGGCAAAAGUGGAACGAAAAUAAGGUGCUGGAGUUAAUGGAUCCAACUGUGGCCGAGUCAUAUAAUCCCCAGGAAUUCGUGAGAUGCAUCCAUAUAGGGCUUCUCUGUGUGCAAGAGAAUGCCCAUGAUAGGCCAAUCAUGUCUACAAUAGUUUUCAUGCUUGGUAGUGAGGGAACACUUCCUCUUCCUAAGCGACCUGCAUUUACAAUAGAAAGGGAACAAAUUUCUGACAACAUUUUUAAUAUCAAUGAUGCAAUAUCUACAAAUUCGGUUACUAUCACAAAUCCACAAGGACGAUAACAUAGUGGUGAUGAAGAGUGAAGAGCAUAAAACACUCGUUAUAACAACUAGCCUGUUGCCUGUUGGUGUCUUACUUAUACAUUAUUUGUCAUUUUUCUUCAUCUAUAUAUUUGAGUUCGAUCACUAGCUGAUUUUGAUGUCAGAAACUGGUAGCACAGGAAUAUAAAGAUUGCAUCUUACUUGUACAUUUCUUAUUUCUCUUAGAGCAGACAGUGAGCUUUCUCUCUGUUAUUCUUUGUUCUCUUGUACCGAAUUUGCAACAGAAACUUGCGAAUGAGCAUGUGGCUCAAUGGUAGCACCCCUCCUCACAAAGUGGAGAGGUCGUGGGUUCGAAGCACGUCAACGGCGGAUUGUUGAUAUAAGGUUCCACACGUAAUUUAAAAGGGUCCCUCAACCUCGCUUGCCAACAAAAAAAAAAAAAAAAAAAAAAAAAACAAAACAGAAACUUAUUCAUUCUUUCUUUUUUUCUAUUUUUGCUGUUGUAGCCAAGGUCAGGGAUACUAGAUUACUAGUAGUGUAUGCAUAGUACAAAAUAUCGUUAUCGACUAAUGUAUCGAUCUCCAAAAAAUAGAUAUAUCGGGAUAUAUUGGAAUCUAUCGGUGGAUAUUUUACAUGGAAUGUAUCGACUAAUAUAUCAAUUUGUUAUACAAAAUAUAUUUAAAAUCAAAUUUGGAAGUAUAUUUUCAUAGUAUUUACCUAAAAAACAUCAUAUCUACUAAAAAUAGAAUAAACAAAUUAUUUCCAAAAAAAAAAAUUUGAAAAAAAAUAAUAUUUCCAGAAAAUUUCGGAAAAUAUCAGUAAAUAUCGGAAUAUAUCGAAAAAUAUCGGCCGAUAUUUUACAGAUACUUUAAGGCGAAAAUUUCGGGAAUAUAUCGUAUCGUUUUCUUUGAAAACCGAUAAAUAUCGCGAUAUAUCGUGAUAUAUCGCGAUAUUUUGUACUAUGAGUGUAUGUAUACAAAUGGAAAGAAAAACAGGCUACAUGACCUGCAGAAGCUCAUCUUCCACAUGGCAAUAGUAAAGCCCAAUACUCUUGAAUCUUGAUUGAGUAUUUGAGUUGGGUUGGCCCAUGGGCUAUUCAGAAAAUCUACUUGCCACGUGGCUUAAAACUGCUUUCACUUGCAUCUCUCUAGUCUACUUCUGUUGCAAACUUGACUGAGAAAGUUUUGAGUUCUGUAAUCUGUAAUCUGUAAUCUGUUUGCAAGCAACUCUCUCUCUCUCUGUGUCUCGUUAUGGCCCAUCGCCAAAUGGUUAAGAUAUAUUUCAGGUUAAUUGUUAUUCAUAUUAUAAUAUUGCUUAGAUAACAUAUUAUUAAUAUUUUUUUUAUUAUUUUGGGAUUUUUUUUUUUUAGAAUUUUUUUAACAAUUGGAUUCAUGAUUUUGUAGCAUUGCAGGUCAUAAUUUUUCUUCUGCAAACUUAGAGAAUAGGGUUCAUUGACUUCCAUUCACUGCACUGGAGUGGUGGUUAAGUUUUAUGCAUUAUUUGCAAUUAAGGACACAAACCAUUUAACCAUUUCAUUUGAAUAUAUGUAAUAAUAUCUAUGAAUUAAACCCUUUUGUUUCAACAUUUAGGUUUCCCACCUUAUAAGAGUAGCAUAUACUAUAACUAUAAUUUGAUUUUCUUGUUAUCCUUCUAGAUUUGAAUUUUUUGCUCCACAUUGUAUCCUUAAUACUUCAAACUAAAGCUGUUAUGUUUACACUCUUGUCUUGCCGCCCAAAACUAUAUAUUGUAUCGAUUAAUAGGACUUUAUUAAUUAGAUUAUUAUUGCGUAGUCCUUGAACAAAAUUUAACCAAAGACGGAGAUAGGUAGUAUAUUGUUUUUUCUUUCCCUUGAUCCUUUUUAGACACCUUAUAUAUCAUAUAUAUACUCACUUUCUAGCCAAGGCAAUUUCUAAUUUUCUAUGGAGAUAUUUUGUUUUUUUGUGAAUUUUUCCUUAAACACCUUUUCACAGUUUUCAUGUCCGACAUAUGCUGAGGCAUUUUAGAUUAUUAGUAGAAUUUUGAAGGACCUAGUUUCACCAUUUUGUAUUACGUGGUGCAAUAUAGUUUUCUUUUUCUUGUGUAAUUGUUUGUAGGAAUUCAUCAUGGGUCGUAAAAUAGUACAUCAAUUUAUUGUUUCCUACAGAUCUAGUGGACAUCGCACAUAUAAAUGAAUUUUCGCUUUGCAGAUAAUUUUGUUUGAAAUUCAAAGUAUAACACUUUAGCAUAUGACAGUUUGAUCGACUGUAGAAUGUAUCGUGUUCGUAAUAAUGGUUAGAAUUCGAUGUACCUGUGACUUGGACAACAUACCUCAUAUUAGUAAUCUAAGCAACUCAGUUAAUGUCUACUAGUUCAGACAACUUUCACAUAAAUCCUCUUUAAGUUGUAAUUUUUUAUUUUGAACUGCAGGGGAUUGUAUAUCAGUGUUUUUGUACGUGAGGUGGUGUGGUACUGUGGUCUUCUUUAUUUCAGAGUUUUCAGAGUACCACUAUUCUGGAUGUACGAGUUACUGUAGGAAACCUCACUAUGUGGAUGGGCAUUUUUGCUUCAACCCCAUUUGGUCUUAAUGGCCCCAGUCUACCAGCAACUGUAAGCCUGCUUAUCAAUUUCACACCUUUUUCAUUAACUACAGUAUACAGUAUACACUACCACUUCUUUGAUAAGAAAUUGAAAAGAGAUCAUUUGCUGGAUUAAUUUUAUCUAAUGGAAGUCCUAGUACAAGCCUUCUGAUGGCCAGAUUUGCAUCCCCUGCAUGUGCACAAAACAGUUUUAUAGUGAUCCACAUCUCAGUGCUGCUUAUAUACUUGAAAUUGAUGGGAAACACCUACAGAUUUUUUACGUAAGUCAUUUAUGGGAUUCUUAGAUAUUUUUCUAAAAUAUUCCUUGAGAUUUGAAACACUUUCAUAUACACCCGUGAGUUGGUUAGGCUCGUAGAUUCUGUCAAUACUUUUUCAUCCACUUAUCCUUAGGACAUAAUUCGUAGAAAAAAACUGGCACCAAAUUUAUUUUAUAUCUUUAGACAAAAAACACUAAGGAGCUCACCUAUGAAGUGAAACACCAAUCUAAAAGACAAGCUUUUAUGGCAUUCUCAAGGACAUUUAAUAUGUCCAUUUUUAGCUUUCUUAGACAAUAAACUGUCUUUAGAGGGGUACUUAGUGCCUCUAUAAAGAGGUACCUUCCUAGCACUUCUCCCAUUAUAAUACGCAACCUUGCAAAGGCAUGAAAAGUUCUUGUGGAGUUGUGGAGACCAAACUUUAAAAUGCCGAAUCCGGGCGAAAUUUCGAGGCCUAGAAAACCGGCAUAUGCCUCGAAAUUUCGAUGGCCUGUGUCGGAAUGGUGAGGAUUUUAAAUCCGACAUUUCGUGGUAUUUGUCGGAAUUUCGAGAAUAUCCGAGAAUAAGGGCCGCCUGAGUAGCAGGUGUUCUCGGUCGAGCCACUCUAUGGCAGACGGGGCUGACGAAGUUUGACUUUGGCGAGGGGUUUGUUUAGGGGGCUAUGCCCGCACAUGAACUACAGUAGUUUUUGGAUAGGCUUCUAGCCGUUACCCGUGCUGAUUGUUCUCAUCCCGAGAAUAUUUAAUUAACUUAAAAACCAAUAUAAUUAACAUAAAUAAUUGGAUACAAUGGUCCAAGUUUAAGAUAAUAAUAUAAUUAAAGUUAGGCAAGAAGGAAGGGUAUAUUUGAAAAUAUGCCAUCAUCUUCUCCAACAAAACCGACGAAAACUUCAAUCUCUUCGUCUUUCAUUCGUCUUUCAUUCUCUGCUUGUCCUCUUUCAACAAAGAUAUCUUACAUCUAAAGUUUAGAUAUAAACUUUGGGGAACUAAACUACGGAUAUCGAUAAAAGGCCAUUAAUAUUGAAUCACAAAAUGAAGAUGAAUCUUUGGGGAUAUUCUUUUCCUAACCAUUGGAUCCGAAACGGCCAUUAAUAUUGAAUCACAAAUUGAAGAUGAAUCUUUAGAAAAAUUCUUCUCCUAACUAUUGAAUCUGAAAUAAUUCGUUGAAUUCGUACAAAAUCCGACGUAUUUAUUCGAAAAUUCGGGUCGGCAUGGGUAGGAUUCUGGAUCGAAGCAGAUUCGACCUGCCGAUCCGAUCCGAAUGCUAGAAAACCGGCAUAUUCCGACGAAAUUUCACGGAUCUUCUCGGCAUUUUGAACUAUGGUGGAGACCACUUAAGCAUACAGAUUAUCAUAACAAGCUUAAUUCUUUAAUAGAUGAUUUGGUUAUGGUUAGCAAUAGUUCACACUUCACACUCCUGAGUGACUCAAUCUGAUACAUAUGACAUCAAGUCAUUAUUUACUCUUAUUCUCUUGUUUUUAGUAGGGAGGUAGCUGCUUAUGGGUAACGAUCAGCAGCUUUUUGUAUGAUCUUAACACUCGUGUAAUGCUUGACACGAAGGUAGUUGCCGUCAAGAAAUUGUGAGACAGAUUUCGGUGCUGCCUUGUCACUUUUCUGUUAAGUUCCAGUAUCAUUUUAAGGAUUCUACCGCAGCUUGUAGCCAUAUAAACACUCUGUCAGGGUAUUCAGAACGUGGUGCACAUGCAUGGGACCAACGCAAUUGUUCACUCCCCAUACUUGGACAUUCUUUAGGUUAAAAUUCGAUUCAGCAGAGAGAUCAACAAUGAUUCUGCCUUUAUUGCAUUCAUCUGCUCACUUUUAUGACCAGUUUUAUAACCCUCCAAUUAAUUGUUUUCCCAUCUAAAAGGAAAUUUGAAUCAACUGUAAUAUUCAGGUGGUAGACUUGGAUCCUCGCCAUUUGUCUUAUUCAUAGUUUCAUACGUUACCUUUUUGUUCAAAAUUGUGUGCAAUGUUUGUAAUCUCUAAAACGGGACUCUGAUUAUGCUUGGAAAAAUGUUUCUCUUCAUUAUUUGUCGACGAUCCUUUGUAAAUAAUGACCACAUGUUAGUACAUCACACUUAUUAAGGUUGCGAAUAAUCCUUUUUUUUCUUUUGGUGAAGAGGUUGUGAAUAAUCUAGAAUAUUCCAUCCAAUGUUAAUCAUUGAAUACAAAUCUGGAAAAUGAAUAAUAAAUCAGCUGUUGUAAACUUGUAAUUGUGUCAAAAACUCAGAAACUCCUUAUAUUGUGAUGGAAUCAUACAGUGAUCCUGUCAGGCAGGAAAUGAACUGUAAGUAUGUAGAGACAUGAAUUCCUGGUCGGCUGACAGGUAGUUCCACUUGAAGUAAUGCGAUCAGGAGGUCUAGUGUUGCAACCAGCUGAUCAGUUUCUAUUAGUGCCUCUGCAUCCAAAUUUUCCUCUGCAUUUCCCUAAUCAAUAACUCAAGAGGCUGCUAUGUUAAAAAAUAUAAUUCAAUAGGCUGUAUUCAAAUAAUUAUUGGGCUUUUUUUUGUGAGUUGGUGUACAAAAUUUUAUUAUGUUCAAGUUUAAAAUUCACACAAGUGGUAGACACUAAUGAUGAUUUGAUUUUUUUUUUUAAUAAAAAAAAAGUCAAAUCAUCAAUGUUUAGUGGGAAUGUGAAGAUUGUUUUCUCACAAUAACCCAUUGACCAAAAAUAUAAAAAAAAAUCAUAAUUCUUUAUUCUAAUGGGGAAAAAAAAAAAAAACCUAGACAUGAUGAAGUUUUCCGUAUAUGGGAUACAUACAUAUUUUAUAAUCACACCCACAUUUACCCAACCCCUGCCCAGGUUGCAGAACAACAUGGUUUGCACAAGGGCAAAAAACAAGAAAUCAUUUUGCUGCAAAUUCACUGGAUAUAUACAACGCUUUUAAUUGCAGACACCUAGGUUCAAGUCUAUCUACAGCUGUAUGGGAUUUUGAGUGUAUGACUAUGCAACAAUCUUGCUUCUUAAUAUUCUAAUGGUUGGACAACGCCAUGAAAUGCUCAGUAUUCACAAAAGUAUAGGUAAGUGCUUAUUAUAUAAAACAAAGAUUUCCAAUUGAUUGGAUCAGAGAGUUUGCUUGCACAUAUUUUCAUGAACCAUUCUUCUCAUAAAAAUUCAUUAACUAAUAAGCUUUGAACUGGCACUAUCCUUUUCAGUUAUAACUUAAUAAUAAAAUAGUUACACAAAUAGAUUAGUAAUAAAGUAAUAAAACAGUUAUAUUGGGAUCAGCACACACGAUCACCAUCAAUCAAAUGGUUCAUUGGUCAGCUCAGUACUCGGUCCACCGGAAUGUGAUAUGCUGGAAAUGCUAAUAAAAAGUUCCCAUUGCCAUGCUAAGUAAAAUUGUUUAAUUUUACUAUUUAACAUUGCUGUUUACAGCCUACAGCAAUCAAGUUUCACCCAAUUGAGGCUUGAGAACUUCUUGGCUAACUCAUACAAAAUCCUUUUAUUCAUUACUGUUAUCUGAUCAAAGUCUUCCAUCAUAUGUUAACAGGUUUACUGGUUAUCACUGAGGAGUUACAGUCAAUGAAAAGGGCUGCUGUUAAGGUGUCUGCUAAACUUCCAGGUAUAUAUGCAAUAACAAUCAAUAAUGGCUGAUGUUUUAAAUGUUUAACAACUCUUUAUCUACAAGUGAUCCAUGCAUUAUUUCUAGAUGCUAGUAUUAUCCAGGAAUUUGACAGUAAAUAUAAUAUUCACCAAACUAAGUAGAAAGGUGAAAGCAUACUACAUCCAUUGAGUUAAGAGAAAAAGAGGACACAGCUCGUUAUAUCUAUCCUUCAUUGUUUAUAUUAUGCUCAGAGCUGGGGUAGAUUAUUCGAUUUUGAAGUGUAUUAGUUGAAAGAGAAUAGUCAACUCAGCACACCUAAAAACGAAAUAAAGAAAUGGCUGUGUUUGGUUCACCAGAAUCAGGAUUCCAAGGAAACAGCCACUUUCCAUGUUAAUGAGUUGUUAAAAUAUAGAGAAAUUUUAGAUGAGGGUCCAACAUGUUAGUCCUAUUCAUUUUCAUUCUCUCUCAGAGAGAAUUAUUUUUAGGAAAAUCAGUCAUUUUACUUGCUUGAACAGCUAAUGAUGCAUUGCAUGACCUCAUUAAUCUUCAAGGUAUAAGUUAACAUGAUACAUAACUUCACCAUUUUUCUCUGACUGCAUUUUGAAGCUCUCUAAGGUCCCAAGUAUGGCUCAGUUGGUUGGUACGGAUGAAAUAGAGUCAUUAAGAAUUGAGCUAGCAGAGAUUGGAAGAGGCCUGAGGUUAUCGUUUCAACACCGUACCUCGAGUUUCAGAAGCACUUCGACUGCAGACUCAGUGAGGGAUGAUAGCGAUGAUGAAAGUACCUUGCAGUGGGAAGCGAUCGAAAGAUUGCCGACUUUUGAGAAAUUAAGAUCAUCUCUUGUAGAUAGCUGUGAUGUUGGAAAUGAUGUGCAAGCUAAGGGGAAGAGGGUCACUGAUGUUACGAGGCUUAGACCUCUCGAGCGACAGCUAUUCAUCGAGAAACUCAUUAAGCACAUUGAGAAAGAUAAUCUCCGUCUAUUGCAGAAUCUUCGAGGAAGAGUAGACAAGUAAGGACUUUAUUGCACACAUUAUACAUAAUACACCUUCACAAAUACAUUCAACUGUGAGGCACACUCAACAUAUAUAGUCUUUUCUUUUCUACAAAAGUGUGUGAGGCUACCGUGCUGUUUCCCAUAAAUUUUUAUUAGGAAUUUCUGUUAUUGUUGAGAAUCUAACUCAUAAGUAAUUUGAUCACUAACUUCUGCUAUUUUUCUGUGACAUAUUACUUUAGUUUACAACCAAGUGGGUGUUAUAUGUGUAGAUGAGCUUGUAUAUUAUUCUUGUUCAUGUCUUCACAUGCACACACACAGACACAAACUAAAGAAAGAAAGAAAAGAAAAAGUGUGGAAAGUACUAAUACAACGGGAGGUAUUAAACAGACUAACAACAUUAAAAAAAAAAAAUCCACAAUAAUAUGUAAUCUAAUUGGUGUUCUGUACUUCUGCUCUGUCCAAGGAGUCUCACUCAUAGUACAAAAUAUCGCGAUAUAUCACGAUAUAUCGCGAUAUUUAUCGGUUUUCAAAGAAAACGAUACGAUAUAUUCCCGAAAUUUCUGCCUUAAAGUAUCUGUAAAAUAUCGGCCGAUAUUUUCGAUAUUUUCCGAUAUUUACUAAUAUUAUCCGAAAUUUUCUGGAAAUAUUAUUUUUUUUCAAAUUUUUUUUUUUGGAAAUAAUUUGUUUAUUCUAUUUUUAGUAGAUAUGAUGUUUUUUAGGUAAAUACUAUGAAAAUAUACUUUCAAAUUUGAUUUUAAAUAUAUUUUGUAUAACAAAUUGAUAUAUUAGUCGAUACAUUCCAUGUAAAAUAUCCACCGAUAGAUUCCAAUAUAUCCCGAUAUAUCUAUUUUUUGGAGAUCGAUACAUUAGUCGAUAACGAUAUUUUGUACUAUGGUCUCACUCAUUAGUAUUGGGAAUGAACUAUGAAGUACUCACUCAUGACUGACCCCAUUAACUGUUCCAUGCGGCUGAAAAUUUUGCUCUUGUUUCAUUAUUGAGAUUUAUCUUGAGUUGUACUUUCACUUAAUGCUAUCUUAAUAAUUUUGCUUACCGUAUCCACACCAAGUUUGGGUUUGCCAUAUUAUAGGCCUUUGAACUGCGUGAGAGGCUCCUCGGUUUCCUGUUAUUGAUCAGCUUUGCACUACCGAAGUUACCUCAAUGCACUUACCUUUAAUUUAACUCCUACUGGGCUAUUCCAGUAUCUGGUCAGAUCCAUGAAUUUGAUUGCCCGUUAGCGAUGAGUGUGUUUCAGGGUAUUCAGAACACCAGUGAUAGGAGAUGGAAUAGGCUUAACUUUAUUUUUUCUAAGAAGGGUGCAUGGUGGGAUAAAACCGCAUUCAUGUCUUACAAAAUCUGAAGUACAUAGAAGUGAAGAGAAAUAACACCUUUUCUUUACGAAUUCUUACCACAAAGUGCAUUACUCAUGGACCAGAGAUCAUCCAAUGGCUUACAACGAUUUCACCUUUCAGAUUGAUCUUUUGGUGGGAUGUGAAAAAACAUUGUUUUAUGUUUAUGCUCUGUACGCUUUGUUCUUUUAGGGAGGUCUAUCCUUUUACGAUAGAUUAAGGUAUUCUCAGCAGCAUACAUUCCAUUAGUUUUGUAGCUAUUAGGGAUCCAUUUACUGGUUAGUCUUGCUUGUGUAACAUCUACCGUGUGUAAAAAGAGAUCCCCAAUUUGAAUGUAUGUGAUUGGAUAAUAAAAGGUUUUCUCAUCAGCAUAUGCUUCUGUUAAUUUGCUGCCAUUACAUGCACCGGGGCUACUGGUUAGCCAGGUUGCGGCAAUUUGUUAUGUUAAGCUUCUAAUUACAACUUAUUUUGCAGAGUUGGUCUAAAAUUACCCACUGUGGAUGUGCGAUAUAAGAAUCUUUGUGUUGAAGCUGAGUGUGAGGUAGUUCACGGAAAGCCGCUCCCGACUUUAUGGAACUCCCUCAAAAGCAUUCUAUCUGUAAGAUCCUGUGCUAUACUGCUUUACUUUCAACAUGCUUGUCCCAAUUCUGUGCUUUACAAAUAGAGAUUUUUGGACCAAGGUCACCACUUUUUGGGGGUAUAUUUGUUCAGCACCACUAUUUUUUUAUUUUUAUUUGAGUUUAGUCACCAUUCCGUCUCAACCACGUUAGUUGACUUAGUCAACUGUACGUUGACGUAGUCAAUAGUACAUAGACCGUAUUAAAAUUAUUUUUUAAUAAUUAAAAAAACUCAUCUAUAGCUACUGUUGCUCAAAAAAAGAAUCUUGUAUCUUCUUCUUCACCAAAUGACAAGCUUCCAAAUGUUCGUGAUCUUCUUGUUCUUAGUAUUGGUUUUUGUUAUACCCAUAUCAAUUUAGUAGAACUUAGAUCAAUCUAAACUAAAACCCCAAUAUUAUACUUGAUUAUUUGAUCUAUUGACAUUUAAGAGAACAAACUAACUUUCAAGAGAACAAAUUUGGAGUAAAAAGCUUAUUUUGAUGGUGCCCUUGUAGAUUAAAACUUUUUGAAGAAGGUGAAGAACAACGAAGGUGAAGAAUUGAUCAGUUGAUUAAAAUCGAGCUUUAAAACAGGAAGAAGGUGAAAGAACAAGCUUAAGCAAAAACCUAAGUAUUUUUUGUUUGACAAUAUUUUGACCAAGGUCAAAUUGAAUUGAGAGGGGUAAAAUAGUAAAAUAACAUAUACAACCUUCUUGGAAAAAAAAAUUAUACUGUCAAUUUUUUUUAUACGGUCAACAUACAGUGAUCAGGUCAAACUUGAGUUGACCGUUAGUAUUGAUGAGGCUGGGACGGAAUGGUGACUAAACUCAAAUAAAAAAAAAAUGGUGACGCUGAGCAAAUUUCCCCCCAAAAAGUGGUGACCAAACACAAAUUUUCUCCCUAUUUGUAAUAACUUUUUUUUUUAAGUUUUCUGUUCUAUGAAGAGUAUUUAUUUUUUGUAUAUCAGAAGAUAGAUUGCAUCUAAUGAUAUCAUGAAAUUGAUCAAUGCCUUCAAUGGUAUUUGAACUAUGCAUGAUUUGUUACACUGCAAAACAGGUUGCUAUAGCAUUAAAUCUUUGUUUACCUUCUCUUUGUCGUUAUGAAAGUUUUAUGUUUAACAGGGUUAUUCCAGGUUAACUGGAAGGUCUCAAGAAGCCAAUGUAAGAAUCCUCAAAGAUGUCAAUGGCAAUCUCAAGCCAGGAAGGUAGGAUAUUGAGGGUUUUCAAUUUUCAUUUCAUGACCAUUACAAGCAUUUUCUUUUUUGUAGCUCUAUACUUUCUUAAAAUUUUCAUGUGCUGCAUAUAUUUACAAGUUGAUGUUUUCAAUGUUUCAUCGUAUGGAAAUAGUAUUAAUAGAAUGAUUGCACAUUUAGUAUAUAUGCGUAAUAAUCAUCAUACUUUUGACGCGUACAUCAGAGGUUGGCAAACUAGCUACUUACUGUAGUAAAUUGCACACAAUGUCUUUAAAAUUAUCCAUUUUAAAUGGCUUAAGAUUUCCCUACAAACUUCAUCUAUUUAUUCUGUACGUUGGAAAGUGCAGACACUAGGACUUGGUUGCCUUGGAAACAAAAUUUCUUAUCCACGUACUGAGCUUUGUUCCUGCACAUGUAAAGUCCAACAAUUCAAACCAUCCACCUAAAUUAUGUCAUUCUGGUUCGGUCAGACAUGAUAGUGACUUUGCUCAUGCUACCCUAUGAUUUUUCCUUGUGAAGUGAAGCAGUAGUUUAUUCCCCAUAAGGCAUGAUAAAUCACCAUUCUUGGGCCACACGAUAAGCUCUGCUGAAAGUACCACAUGAGAUGAAACUUGCUGGCCAAGGGUUGGCGUUGCAUGCAAGUCUCUUUGACUUGCCACCUUUAGGGUAUGAGGAGAAUCCUGGCACUCUAGCGAAUGGUCUGGAAUCUAGAUUAAUGUUUACUCUGGUGUGCUGAAUGCUCAAACUCAUGUUGGUUCCUGCCUAGCUGAGCUCUGCCACGUUUAUGAUACUAAUCAUAUUGGUCUUCUCCUCUGCUGUUCAGAUCAAAGUGUCAUGAUCUUUUGAUAUAACCACAGAGCCACCAGUGCCUCUGAUACUAAAGUGGACUUCUGGAAUCUAAACUCUAAAGUCAUGCCAAUAAAAAAUGCAAUCUAAUUUCUUGUUUGAUUGUUCUUCGUUUGGAUGUGAAUCUGUCAAAGAAGUAUUUAUGGUGACUGCAAAUAAUGUUUCCUCAUAAGUUAUAAAGGCUUCUCUGGGUUGCAGGAUGACUCUAUUGCUUGGCCCUCCUGGGUGUGGGAAAACUACAUUGUUAUUAGCUCUUUCAGGGAAACUAGACCAAUCUAUGAAGGUUAAUUCUUUAUUUCUAGUUUUUGAGGUUCUUUCAUUAUAUUUUUUAUGAUUAUGUUCUGAAGAUCUUAUUAGAAGCUAAAGGCAUUGGGCUUUGCUGGUUUUUCAAGGGAAGAGGUUUAAUUCGGUCGUAAAAGUGGAGUUGAAAUGGAGUGGAGUGGGCACACACACACUAGAUACAUUAUGUUGUAGAAAAGAAGCAAAAAGCAUUUUUUUAAAUAUCUUUUAUUUUUACCUUUAUAUCUAGGUUACAGGAGAAAUAUCUUACAACGGAUUCAGACUAGAAGAGUUUGUGCCUCAGAAGACAUCAGCCUAUAUAAGUCAAUAUGACCUGCACAUCCCUGAGAUGACUGUGAGGGAGACACUUGAUUUCUCUGCUUGUUGUCAGGGUGUUGGAAGUCGAUCAGGUAACAUAUAUUUGGUAUACAUUAAUUACAGUUUUGAGUAAAAUUUAUAUUUAAGCUAUAAGGUGCCCUUUUAUUCGAUGUGAAGAGAUUAUGACGGAGGUCAUUAGAAGAGAAAAGAAGUCCGGGAUUGUCCCUGAUCCAGACGUGGAUACUUACAUGAAGGUACAUUGACAGUUUUUUGACUUUCUUUCUUCACAGGGAAACUGAUUUGUUGCAGUGGUAAAAGUGAACUAUGUUAGUGAUAAUCAACUUGAGUGUUAAAUGCUAAACUUGAGUGAUUAUCAAUUGUUUUGUGGAGAAUUUUGAGCUUUUAUAAUGCAAAUGAGGAAAUGACUGAGUAUGAUUUUAUUGUCACUUAUAAGUUGGGAGGAAUGGCGACAUAUUCAUUAUAUAUUUAUUUAUUUUUUUAUCUGGAAAGGUACCAUGAAAACUUAAUCAAAGGAAAUCUUGGAUGAUAUGAAACGAAGCAAUCACAAUAAAGAUAACAAUACAUUUUUCAGCCCAAUCAUUACUUCCAUAUUUACAUGUUAUAUAUAUUAAUCUUAAAAUGAUAGGCCACCUCUAUCCUUCAUUUCAGCGCACCAAACUUGAAAUUAUGAGUCAUAAUAAUUUAUCCCAUGCUUAGUGUUUUCUAAGGUCCAAUACAUGAAGUAUAUCUUUUAUUUGAAUUAAACUAAUUUUAAUAAAGUUAAUAUGUAGUUAAGACACUUUUGUGGCUGAAUAGAACGUUUAUUAAUUAACAAAGAGGAUAGAAUGAGCACAAUGAUAUACUUGGUGAUAGAGGCUUUCACCAAGUAAGAGAACAACAAGGAAAAAAAUACUACAGCUACCAAUACAUUACAUCAUCACCUAAAGGAGUCAAUCCCAAAGUAUUACUUCCCAGUCUGUGAUUGACUGCAUGUAGCCUUGUUUCUUCCUUGAGCCAUCUCCCAGAAGCCAGUACCUGCAUGUAGCCUUGGUCCUCACCCCCACUCUUUCGAUUCUCACUUUCUUACCUUUAAAAAUUAUGUCAUUUCUUACCUUAUGGUCCUAUUUCACAGUUGUUCUGGUUCUGGAAUCAAGUUGUUUCUCUGAUCUGAUUUGUGACUGGUACAAUAAUUAGGUGAAAGCUUCCAGCUUGAAACGUGUCUGUUUAAGGCUUGUUGUUUUCUUCUAAUUCCAGUUUUAUUGAAUUGUACUUUUACUGCCCUCUUUUACAGUUUAUUAUUUUCUCAAUGAAUAUCAAUGAUUUAAGAGAUGCUCAUCUUUGAGCAGGCAAUUUCUGUUCAAGGACUAGAAAAAACUCUUCAAACAGACUAUAUUUUGAAGGUAAUUGUCCUUAGAAGACGUCACAAUUUUCGGCUUUCAUUGGAAUGUGACCAAUCAUUUGAACCUCUUUGUUUUCGAUUGUCUACAAAUCUACUACUUACAGAUACUUGGACUUGAUAUAUGUGCUGACACAAUGGUUGGGGAUGCUUUGAGAAGAGGUAUAUCAGGUGGUCAAAAGAAAAGAGUAACUACAGGUAAGUGUAUAAAUAAAGUGAACAGCUUUAUUCCAAAUAGAACUGUAUGCUUUCUGUACCUAAUACAUAAUGAUUGAGAAAUUGUGCUUUCCAAAGGAACUUGAAGGUGGACAGGUUUUUUUGUAUAGUGUUUCUCUAAGAACUCCAUUGUCUUUGUAUAGGGGAGAUGAUUGUUGGUCCUACAAAAGCUCUGUUCAUGGAUGAAAUAUCAAACGGUUUAGAUAGUUCCACUACCUUUCAGGUUGUUUCCUGUCUUCAGCAGAUGGUGCAUAUUACAGAUGCCACAGCAUUGAUUUCACUUCUCCAGCCGGCACCAGAGACCUAUGAUCUCUUUGAUGACAUUAUAUUGAUGGGAGAAGGAAAGAUCGUGUACCAUGGGCCACGCAGUCAUGUUCUUGAAUUCUUUGAAGAUUGUGGAUUUAAGUGUCCAGAAAGAAAAGGGGCUGCUGACUUUCUCCAGGAGGUAAAGCACAUUAUAGUCUGAAGCAAUGUCACUUUCUUUCCCUGAUUUCUUGGAUAGUGGUAACACGUUAACUGUCACAAAUUCUUUCAGGUUAUCUCUAGAAAGGAUCAGGGCCAGUACUGGUACCAUACUGAAAAACCAUACAGUUAUGUUUCUAUCAAUCAGUUCUGUAAUAAAUUUGAGGCAUGUCAUAUAGGGAAGAAGCUUGAUGAUGAGCUUGCUGAGCCAUAUGAUAAAUCCCUGAGCCACAAAGAUGCUUUGUCUUUUAGCAUGUACUCUUUGACCAAAUGGGAACUCUUUAAGGCCUGCUUAAAGAGAGAAUAUCUUCUCAUGAAGAGAAACUCUUUCAUAUAUGUAUUCAAAUCAUCACAGGUAACUCCCCAUAGGCUUAUUACUCUUAUCUAUAUCGGGUAUUGAUUAAUAAUGUGUUGAGGCAUUGACUCCAUGCUCGUAUCCUGUCUCUGUAGCUUGUUAUCAUUGCGCUCAUAGUAAUGACAGUUUUCCCACGGACUCGAAUGAAAGUUGAUGUGAUCCAUGCUAAUUACUUUUUGGGUUCUCUCUUUUUUGCCCUCGUCAUACUUCUUGUUGAUGGAUUCCCCGAGGUUUCCAUGACUGUUUCAAGACUUGCUGGUUUCUUCAAACAGAGAGACUUGUAUUUUUACCCAGCGUGGGCUUAUGCAAUUCCAGCUGCUGUUCUAAAAAUUCCACUUUCAGUGUUGGAAUCUAUUGUGUGGACUGCUCUUACUUAUUAUGCCAUUGGAUAUACUCCUGAGUUUGGAAGGUGAGUCUCACUUGGUUGUUGAUUCUUUUUAGAAGACAAUGUACAAGUAAGCUGUUAAUUGGAGUCAUACUGAUAUAUGUAUAGCUUGGUGGUAUUAAAUGACUGUUAAAACCCACCUUAUAUGUCUCAAGUGCAUGAAUGUGGCAACUAGAUUGGUUACAGACUGUGUAUAAAUAAGAAAAACGUACGCGGGUCUGGAUCAGCUCAUUGAACACUUCCCCAAUCAAAAUGAAUUUGAUAAGGCUAGACACAACGCUCACAACACGAGGCUCGAAAGCAUUACAAGAAAACAGUAAAAUAGGGUCAGGGAAGCAAGGUGAGUCAGAAUGGGUCCUGUGUCAGCCCACUCGAAUAGGAAAAUACCUCUCCCGUAACCCUAAAAUCACGCUAGAUGAUGAAUUACAUCAUGCACAUAAUUUUGAGUGUCUAUAGACACAAGUGUCAGACUGGGGUCCAUAUCUGGUGUCGGUUGGAAUCUUAUUGUUGUGUCUUUGAGGUGGAGUACUCGUGAUAACGAACGAUUAGAAAGCAAGGGGAGUCGAUACCCUGCAGGUUGAGGCUUGGACGAUACUGCUAUUUUUUUCGACACCCAGUGUCAACAGAGAAAUAUUUUACUGAUUACCGUUGGCAUCUGUGAUCCAUGGGUGAUAGUUUUAGGAAGCGUCCAGGUCUUUAAAAUUACUCUCAUGUAUUUUUGUAUAAUAUCAUGAUAGUUGGGGGUUUAAUGAUAUAUGAGCAUGAACACAAGAAUUUCAUUCAUAAAUUCUUUACUAUAGUGCCUAUAUAACGAGCAUGAACACAACUUGAUAAUUUCAUUCUUGGAGAUUAUAAAGAAAAUUUUAAGCCGUAAAAGUGUGUACUUGCCUUUUCUUUAUUUUGAUUACUUUGGCGCAUUUAUCAAUAUUGUACAUUUUACAUUUUCAAAUAUAGCUAUAUUCUCAAGAUGUCGGAUUAUUCGUUAAUAUUUUGAACCUACUGGGAAGAUCAAAUUCACUUUCUAUUUAACUAUUACCAUGUGAGAUAUCGUAUGUCUGGUACAUAAAAGGAAGGGUUUUGGUAACAAGAUUGUCGUUGAUUGAACACUGUAGGUCUUUACUUGAUGUCUCCUUCUGAUAUCCUUUUGUUUAGAAAUGUUGAAUGAAAAUCAAAAUUCUGAUUCUUGACUUUGACCUGUUUUCUUGAUUAGGUUUCUUCGUCAGUUCCUUCUUCUUUUUGCUGUGCAUCUAAUGUCAACAUCCAUGUUCCGUUUUCUAGCCUCAGUCUACCAGACUGCGGUGGCUUCUACAACAGCGGGUGGUUUUGCGUUGUUGUUUCUAAUGUUAUUUGGUGGCUUUGUUAUCCCACAACGUAAGGCUGCUUAUGGUUUUCCCUAGUGUUAUUCAGACUAACAUGUGACAUGGAUGUAAUUAGUGUCUUUGUUGUUGUAGCCUCUAUGCCAGCUUGGUUACGGUGGGGAUUCUGGGUUUCACCAUUAACUUAUGGAGAGAUUGCCCUCACUACAACAGAGUUCCUUGCUCCGCGAUGGGGAACUGUGAGCUUUCAAUUCUUUCAUUUUUAGUUUUGUGGUUCAGAACUUUGGAUAGUUUGAGCUUAUUACAUACAUAUAUUUAAGUAAACUAACCAGGCCCAGCUAUAUAUAUAUGCAUUCAUUUCCAUUGAACUUUUGGACUCCUUAUGUUGGCCUUCCGUAUUUGAUAAAUUUGUCUAUGUCUAUCAAGAUUUCAUAACAACUCUUUCGACAGAAUAAUAUUAACAAACAAAAAGCAGGUCUUUUUUUUUGUUUUUUCUUAUAUGCAUUGUCUGUUAGAGGUCAAAUUGGAUAUAAACAAGAAGUAUUUAUGUGCCAAAUGCUGAGUUACUAUUUGAACCUCAGGUAUCACCUAGAGGCUAGAGCUUAAUUUGCCAACAAAAGUCUAGAGAGGUAAACUGCUUUGUCUACGAAUGGAACUGGCGUGCUUCAAGAACUAUUACCACAGACCUUGGGUUCAAAAGCCAUCGACACCAUGAUAUAUAACUAACCAAUCAAAAGAGAUUUAAAAUCUUCAUGAGUUAAAAGGAAGAACAAUAUUGUAGUGCCGAUGGAACUGGCAAAUUAUAAAAUUGUGCCAUAAUACAACAUUGCAUAGUUGCAUACCAAUAGACAUUUACAGUUUCAUACAUGAUAAAAGUAAGACUGAAUAUUUCAAACCUCUGGUUCUCUGUCCGGAUGUAUAUAUAAUACAAUCUGAUAACCAUCCCUACUCCUUCUAUUUUUUCCUUUUAGAAACAGAAUCAUAUAAUCAUCUGGACUUAAUCUUUGGAUCACAAUUAAGUAAUUUUAUGAGAAAAGUAGUGAUUUGUGGUACAUAUACGUUAUAUGUCCUAUAGUCAUUGGUCAUUCACUCAUUUGUGAUCUGGAAGUACAAUUUGCACAAAAAUCUUUCCGAAACGGGAGUCAUUAUAUAAAUUUGAAAAAGUAAUUCAGGAUUCCUGUAUUUCAAAGAGAAAUGUAGUUUUUAUUGAAUAAUUAUCAGGAUACCUCUAUUUCACCACAUUCCAUAACGAGUACAUGCAACCUGCUAAUUAACAACCCAUAGCUGGGCUACGAGAAGCAAACACUGCAGAAGUUACAAUAAACUCAGAAGAAAUAUAUUUAUGAAUGAUGUUCAAAGAUUGCUAUUACCAAUUGGUCUAUGUUAAUUGUGCCCUAAUGUUUAUGUCUUAUGUGUUUCCUUCUGAUUGUAGCAUAUAAAUCCUAAAGGUUCAAUGUUUUAUGUGAACUUGACCCUCCCUCUAAUGAUGAUAUGUGCCAAUAGAGAGGGUGGAUACUGGUUUCUCUUUCUUAAAAACUGGUGGAGUUUGCUUACACUCGGGCUAAAUGAUUCAUGAAGAAAAAUAUUAAAAUUGAUUAACAAGAUAAUCAUUUACAAAUAUUAGGUGUUGGCCAAUUUCUCCUUUCCGUGUAUGAUGCACACACAGAUGUGGCAGUUCAAAACCAUGCUUAUGGUUUAGAGAGCUUAUACCAUAUUUUAUCCUUUGUGGUUUUUCCUUAUUGUGAAGUGAAUAGCUAUGGUGAAUCACCCAUUUGUCAUUGCCUAUUAAUUACAUACUCUUCUGUUGAUUUACAGAUGGUAUCAGCAAACACAAGUAUAGGUGCACAAACACUGGAAAGUCGUGGCUUGCGCUUUAGUGACUACUAUUAUUGGAUAUCACUUGGCGCAUUGUUUGGGUUUACGAUACUUUUCAAUAUUGGAUUUACCCUGGCUUUAUCGUUUUUUAAGGGUAAGUUCAUCUUUACAAGUGCACAACUAAAAGAAGAGAUUAUCUCGAAUUGUGUACUUACCCAUAUUUUGAUGUAUAUCUAGCGCCUGGGAUGUCUCGUGCCAUCAUCUCUCAUGACAAGCUCUCUCAGUUGCAAGAAAUGGAUGAUUGUAAUAACCGCAUUCAUGUCAAGGAGAAACCUCCUAGUGCUCCUUCCAAGUUUGAGGAGCCUGGAAAAGGUUUGAAGAUUGUUCUCCUUAUGUCUUUACCUUCUAAAUGUAACAAUGGAUAAUGUCGUGAGCAGUAUACUUUAUUCCCACACUCCCCGACUUCAUAUGCUCUAUUUAUAUGUAAGGUUUUGUUCUUGUGUGCUAAGAAUUCCUUGGCUGAUUUCACAGGAGGUAUGGUAUUACCAUUCGAGCCCCUAACAGUAGCAUUUCUGAAUGUGCAGUACUUCGUUGACACACCUUUGGUAAUCAUUGAAAUUUUUUACUUUACAUUAAGGCCCUGUGUGGACCAUAAAUAGGUAUAGUAUUACAAUUGGAGACCCUAACUUAGCAUUUUAGAAUGUGCAUUACUUCAUUAACAACCCUUUGGUAAUCAUUCAAAAUUCUUACUUUUACAAUCAGGCCCUGUGUGGUUUCAUUGUGUCAUCACCAUUGACACCAUCAUUAUCAAAGCUUCCAAAAUGCUUAGAACUUUCUCCUUCAGCAAACCUUUCUGAAAAUAUUUUGUUGACAAGAUAUGUGGACUGUAAUGUUACAAACGAAAAUAUAGAAAACUCUAUUCUUCUAUAUACUUUGUGCAGCAUAGAGAUUAUUUAUAUAAAUUUCAUUUGGUGCCUAAAUUUACAUUCCUUGAAAUCCGAUCCAGUUGGAUCCAAUGACAUCAUUUAGAUCUCAUAUUUCUGUGAUCUCAGGAAAUGAGGGAACGAGGUUUCACUCACAAAAAACUUCAACUACUUCAUGAUGUUACUGGUGCUUUCAUGCCUGGUGUUCUAACAGCACUAAUGGGUGUUAGUGGAGCUGGGAAAACAACUUUAUUGGAUGUUCUUUCUGGAAGAAAAACUGGUGGUACUAUUGAAGGCGAUAUAAGAAUUGGUGGAUACCCUAAGGUCCAAGAAACAUUUGCUAGGAUUUCAGGGUACUGCGAACAGAAUGACAUACAUUCUCCACAAAUUACUGUGGAGGAAUCAGUGAUUUAUUCAGCUUGGCUGCGACUUCCACCGACUAUUGAUUCAAAUAUAAAACUAGUAAGAAAUUAUGCAGUAGCAGAGUUAUUUGUUAAUCUUUGAUGCUUUCCGCGAUCUAAUAAAAUUGAUCACAAUAUACUUCACAGGCUUUUGUCAAUGAAGUUCUUGAAACCAUUGAGCUGGAUGGAAUUAAGGAUUCUUUAGUAGGUGUACCAGGUGUUAGUGGUCUCUCCACGGAGCAGCGUAAACGACUUACAAUAGCUGUGGAGCUUGUUGCCAACCCAUCUAUCGUCUUCAUGGAUGAACCCACCUCAGGUUUAGAUGCAAGAGCAGCUGCAAUUGUGAUGCGGGCAGUGAGGAAUGUGGUUAACACAGGAAGAACAGUUGUCUGCACUAUCCACCAACCUAGUAUUGAUAUAUUUGAGGCAUUUGAUGAGGUACAAAUAGUUUAAUGAGGUUAAAAUGGGAAUAAAAUUAGCUGAAUGUGAGCUAGAUGAUGGGUCACAAUUAGGAUACUCACCCAAAUCUGACACAUAUAUGCUCCUGAUCUUUUUAUGUGCCUAGAAAUUUCAUGUUUGGGUGAGUUUUGCUGUAGAUGUCCAUAUAAACAAUACCCAUGAAAGAUCAACCCUAUAGGAAAUUUAGACUAUCAUCGAACUUAUUUUGAUGAUUAUAUUAUAAGUAGCACCAUCUAUUUCAUAUUAGCUAUUGUUUUAGCUCUAAAUCAUACCAGGUAUCAGAAGGUUCCACAUAGAUUGAUAGCCUAAUGUGUAUUUCUAUUCUUCAUGCAGCUGAUUCUAAUGAAAAAUGGAGGACGCUUAAUCUAUUCAGGACCACUGGGUCAGCAUUCAAGAAGGGUUAUAGAGUAUUUUGAGGUAUAUUUGUCAUAUUUAUGUUGCCCAACGGCUAUGCAAGUUCAGUGUUGGUCCUCUCUAGUUAAUAUGGGUUGCCUAUAUUCUAAAAAUCCUUCCUUACUUUGUAGGGUUUUUCUGGGGUCCAAAGGAUAAAAAGCAAUUACAAUCCUGCAACAUGGAUGCUAGAAGUCACAUCUACAUCUGCUGAAGCAGAACUUGGUGUAGAUUUUGCCCAUCUUUACAGUGAAUCCUCUUUGUCUGAGUAAGUGUAACUACUUGUUAGUUGCAAACUAGAAAUUUACAUAGGACAGUAAGUCCCAGACCUUGUUGACUGGCCAGGAUUUCAACAUUUGACUUGUGAAUGAUCGGUAUUAUUUCUAAUUGCAGGACUACUAAAGAGCUUGUUAAAAACCUUUCCUCUCCUCCACCUGGUUCAAAGAACUUACAUUUUCCGACCCGCUUUCCACAAAAAAGUUGGGGACAGUUCAAAGUAUGCCUUUGGAAGCAACAUUUGUCCUAUUGGAGAAAUCCUGCUUAUAACUUAACACGUAUUGUGCAUAUGGUUGUCUCGUCCUUGCUUUAUGGUGUGGUGUUUUGGAAGCAAGGUAACAAACUGUAAGUAAACAAACUCAAUUCCACUACAAACAUUGAACAGAGCAGGAUACUUUAAAAGGUCAAUCAACUGUAGGUAUAAGUGAUAAAAAGAAAUGUAGACCAUUAUUAUGUCAAUCGGGGGACUAUAUUUACAGGAUCAAUUGGUUAGCAAUUCAGUCUAUUACAUUCUCGUGGGCCGUUAAGGUCUUAUUUCAAGACUUAAAUUAAAAUUACCAUGUAAGUUCCUCCAGAUGAUUGAUUACAUAAAACUGAAAUGUACUCUUUAGAUUUUAUUGAUAGGAGUGAGAUGUGAGUUUACUUUAUUUGGCCUAUCUUAUUUUUAGGUGUCCCUAUUACAAAUGCCAAAAACAUAUAAAUAUAAGUACAAAAUGGUUCACUAACAGAACUUAACAUGAAUAUUGAUUUUCAUUUUGUAGAAAGAACCAGCAGGACUUGUUCAAUAUAUUUGGGUUUUUGUUCACAGCCACAAUCUUCUUUGGCAUAAAUAACUGCUCCUCUAGUUUACCAUUCAUUGCUACUGAGCGCAAUGUCUUGUACCGGGAGAAGUUUGCAGGAAUGUACUCUUCAUGGUCCUAUUCGUUUGCCCAGGUAUGGAGAACCCUUAAAAACUUGGUGUGUUGCCGUGGCUUGACCCAAUGCAUUUAACUGGUAAUAUAUUCGGAUUUAGUGAAGUAUUCAUUUAGUCAAAGUGAAUACUCCAUAGACUAAAGUUGGCUCUUCUGCCCAUUAUGUUUGUUCUUUUCUUUUUUUUCUCAUCAAAAACAAAUUUUAUUGAUAAAAAUUUGAAGAAUUACACAAAAGUAGAGGACAUUUAUUCCUUGGCAGUAAUGAAGAAUGGUGAAAUGUUGUCUAAGUGUGUGACAUUUAUUCCUUUGGCUUUAACUAAUCGGAAAAAGUCCCUUGUAAAUAUUUACAUCUGAGUUUUCCCCUCAUCUAUUGUCAACUAACGUCUGAAAUGAAACUAGUAUAGACCACCUUCUCAAGUCUACUAAACAUAUAUUUAUGGUUUGUAUUAGUAAUGCUUUAUGCAUCUCAUUCUUACUUGAAGUUGCUUUCUGUUAGGUUGCAAUUGAACUUCCCUACUCAUGCGCCCAAGCACUGUUAUUUGUAAUCAUUUCAUAUCCUAUGAUUGGGUUCAUCUGGUCCCCUUAUAAGGUGUUCUGGUUCUUCUAUGCUAUGUUUUGUACACUACUCUACUUCAACUACCUGGGAAUGCUGCUUGUAUCGGUGACACCAAACGUUCAAGUAGCAGCCAUAUUAGCUUCUUCUUGUUACACCAUGUUAAAUUUGUUCUCUGGCUUCCCCAUACCAGAACCGGUAAGUUAAACUCUACUCACCCUACAAUGGUCAUUGGGGCUAUUGAUCUAGAAGGUUGUUCAGCUGUUCUUUAGUUAUGGUGAAUGGUUUUUAUGGAAUACUUGGAACAUUUUACCCAUGUGAAGUAUGAGACUUACAAAUAUCUGAACACGUUAUUUAAAUUAGAAAAAUAAAUAUGCAGUUUUAGUGUCAUCUAUGAUGCUAUAUUCAUAACUGGUAGCUCUGUGUUUGUAUUGAAAAGCUUUCCACACAAAAUGAAAAUGUACCAUAUAGUUAGGCAAUGCAAGUGUAAGAUGGAAUUCAUGUAGUUUACUCAUAUUUGUUGUGUGUCUGUGUGUCUUUCACUCAUUCUCCAAAUAGUAUUGGACUAUUGGGUCUUGACAGAGGAAAAUGAAAUCUGACUUUACCGUGGUCUUGUUAUGCAGGAAAUUCCUAGGUGGUGGGUUUGGAUGUAUUAUCUUACCCCGACUUCUUGGACAUUGAAUGCGCUAUUCACAUCACAAUAUGGAGACGUACACAGGGAUAUAAUGGUGUUUGAUGAAACAAAGACUAUUUCUGCUUUCUUAAAAGAUUAUUAUGGGUUUCACAAUGACCGUUUGGGUAUUGUGGCUGUUGCCCUUGUCGUGUUUCCAGUUGCUUUUGCUGUUAUUUUUGCAUACUGUAUAGGUAAACUCAACUUUCAAAGAAGGUAAAUGUUUCACACAUACCAUAAAUGUAUUUUCAGAAUCCAAUCAUCAUUCUAAUAAAGAAUCUGAGCAUUUUUGGUUAUGUAUACAACAGUCUAAGAAUUUUUCAUUUUUGAUUAUGUUUUAAACUCGUGAAUAUUUGUUUCUUCAUGCACAGCACAACAAUGAUAUGUUACAUAACUGAUGUCGUGGUCUUUCGUUUUACCAUCAUAAUAACUUUUAGUAUGUAUCAGCUGCUCAAAGUUCUUUUCGUUAAUGUUCCAAAUGCUUUGUAUAUGUUAUGCUUGACGCGAAGGUAAUUGCUCUCAAAAACUUGUGAGACAGAUGGAUAUUUCUGUGCUGCCUUUGUCCAAUGUUCAUGUAAUUAUCAGCUCUGUUGUAACUGUUCUGAUAACUCAGAAAUUUCUUACAAUCGUAUAUGAGAUAAUCUAAUGGUGAUCCUGUCAGCCACUAAAUGACCUGUAAGUGUGUUGAGACAUGAAAUCUUGACUGAUUGACAAGUAGUUCAAGUUGAAGCAAUAAUGAGAUCAGGAAGGUCUAGUGUUGCAAUCUGCUGAUCAGUUUAUAUUAGUGUGUAUAAACAAAUUUUAUCCUGUAUUUCCCUCAUCACUACGGUUCUUUCAUAUAUUUAUUGGCAUUUUGUCUCCUUAAAUUAAGGAUAGAGGUAGUUUCAAGCGUGUCGUGCUUCAAAUAUCCAGAUUCUCACCUCAAUCAUAAUUUGUUGAGGUUAAGUUCUUUGGCUUAGACGGGGUGUCUGGUAAAAGUUAGGCCUACUUUUUACAGGUCAAUGGAAUCUUCAUGCCCAAAACCCCAAUUCCGGUAGUCAUUUAUUUGGCACCUCACAAGGAGGUGGAACUGCCGCUCUAACCCUUGUAGGGAGAUGUCAUCCACAAACGCAAAAUUUAUGGCCGACUGAUAUUGCUCAUCAUCAUUCAGAUAUUGCUGGUCACAUUCCUGUUUUGGCUUAUAGUUGCUAUCAUCUCCUCGACCAGGAAAGUUGUAAUAGACAUUCUAGAUGGUUUCGUUCAUGUCCUAAAUGGUUUCACCCAUGUAAUGUAGAUCUUCCUUAAAAGCAUUAAGGAUUUUCUAAAACGAAAAAAUCGGAUCUAUUCCAUUAAGUAUAGUAACCCUAUUAGACAUAUAUUGAUGGUUCACAUGUUCCAAUUUAUUAGUAGGGAAUGUGAAGAUCGUUUUUUCACAAGUAAAUCACUGAUCAAAUAAAAAAACUCUUUUUGAGUAAAAUAAAACUUUCACGAGAUGAACAUUAUAUCUAAUUAUAUUAUCUUCAGUCAUUUGUUUAUUUUCUAAUUACACCCACAUUGGCAGUAUGGUUGCAUGUUCCAAUUUGUUAGGAGAGAAUGUGAAGAUUGAGAAUGUGAAGAUUGCUUCACAAGUAAAUCAUUAAAUCAUUGACCCAGAAGAAAAACAAAAAAAGCUCCAUAAUUCUUUAUUCUAAUAAUCUUCACGAGAUGACGCUAUCUAAUUAUUUUCUUAUUACUACCAUGGUCUCUAACUCUCUCUCUCUAUAUAUAUAGGCCAAAGGGAAAGGUUCAGAUAACAACUCAUUACAAUACUACAAAUAAAAGUGCUUUUGUAUUCCAAUUGAGAGUGUGCAAAACAGAUUCUGAUCAGAAGCACCAGAAGAAUAUAUGGCUAACACAGUAGUCCUGAAGCUGGUUUGUGCAUUGGUGGUAUGCAUGGUGGUGACUGCACCCUAUCCCUAUGUGGAAGCUGAGGUGACAUGCAAUGAAGUGAAGAAUGAUCUGAGUACCUGCCUUUCCUACCUCCAAUCAGGAGGAGCUGUGCCAACAACUUGUUGCAACGGCAUGACAUCUCUAUAUUCUGCUGCUAAUGAUACACCAGCUCGUCAGACUGCCUGUCGAUGCAUCAAGCAAUUUGCAAGUAGUGUCUCUGGGAUUAACCAAGAUAAUGCUAGCUCUCUGCCUGAAAAGUGUGGUAUAUCUAUUGGAUUCCCGAUCAGCCCUUCGGUCGAUUGUUCUAAGUAAGCACCUGAUCGAUAUAUGUUAUUCACUUAUUAAUGCAAAUCUUGACUUAGUAACACUAGUUCAACUUUUCUUCCCUCUGAUAGUUCUCUUUUGAUUGUCUUAAUUGUGGUGCAGGGUACAGUGAGACUGCGCUGCCUACACAGCUAGCUAUCCACAAUUGUCCUUUUAUAUAUAGAGACAAUAUUUGCUAUAUAUAUAUAAUAAGGUGGACAUUGAGUGUCACCAACGGCAGUCUAUGCAUUUGGUCUAUGGUACCAUGUAUUUGAUUUGAUUCGAUGUUUUUUAAUUUUUUUUUUUUUCUUAUGGAAGACCAUGUAUUUGCUUUGCAUUAUAAAGAUGAUGGUUACACAUCUCAUUCAUUUUAGCACCUUUUCAAUUUUCCUGUGAAGUUCACUUAUUUAUUUAUCAUCUUCGACUUGAUGUAAUCACAUUGGUUGAAACAUAAUCUUAAGUUCCAAAGGCAAAUGAAAAUAAUCCAUAAAGAGAUCAACCGGAACAUCUGCACGUAGUAGUGUAGUACUACUACGCUUGUGUGAAUAAUGGAAGAUGAACUCCUUUCCAACAUAUUUUGAAACACAGAGUGAAGACGAAUACAUGAUAGUUCCUCACAGCAUUUCCAUGGGGUGAUCUGCACCUAGCUCAAUUGUUACAAUACUUCAUGAUAUAUGAUCCUUAAUGAGGAAAGAAUGAAUAGAAAAAAAAUGUCUCUGUAUAGUGAUUCGACGAUUGCUGCAUACCUAAGAAAAAUUAUAUGGAUUUCACCUGUUUAGGUAUUGUAGUCAUUGCCAUUUCCGUGUUUCCAGUUGCUUUUACUGUAACGUACUCAACAUUCAAAGAAGAUAAAUGUUUAUGUAUGUUAACAUGUUGUUGUAGCCAGAAGAGGAGUAUUUACUAUUUAGGGAGAAUGAAUAUACAGUACAUAUGUAUAAAACUUAACUGCUGCUUAAAUGGUUAAUAAUGGGAAAAGCAGGCUACAUCAUCACCUGCAGAAGCUGAACUAUGCAUCUACAUUGGCUGGGCUUUGAUUCUUGGAGUUACAUGGCCCAAUGGAUAACUUUAAAAGAGCCCAACUUCAUAGAGCCCAUGAGUGUGGACUUAUUUGGUCUGGACCGUAGCCCAUGGGCAAUUAAAACUCUGCUCACCACGGUGCAGCUCAACAGUCGUCUCUUUCAUUUGAAGAUUCCAACAAGCCAAGGCAGCAAAUUUGAACAUAGAAAGUGAGAGAGAAGCCAACAAACCCUAAUAUUUAUUUUUCAGAUUAAUUAUGAUGAAUUCCUCUUUCUUUUUAUUUUAAUUAUAUUAUGCAUAAUUAUUGUAUAUUAGGAAAAUUAGAUAUUAUUAUUAAUUUUUUUAUUUGUGAAUUUUACAAUUGGAUUAUGAUUUUGUAACACUGCAUGCCAAGUCAAGGUUUUAAUAUUUUUACUUUUUGCAAUAACAUCAAAUACACAUUCACUGAUCAAGUUAUAUGUAUCUAUAAGAUGAUGUAAAGUUAAUUUUAUAAGAUGAAGUUAAUUACAUUCACAUUUUAAUAAUUUCUACUUUCAACUUUUAGAUUUUACAACAACUUAUAAGAUAUAUUUACACUCUUGCCUAAAGUAUGAUAUUGUAUCUACAAUUAAUUGGGAUUUUAUUAGAUUAAUGCGUAAUCCUGAAACAAACUCCAACUAAAGAAGGAGAUAGGUGAUAUUUUAUUUUAUUUUUUGAUUGUUAAUAGGAAUUCAUCAUGGGCGUAAAAGAGUCUGGAAUUGGUUGUUUUCUUCAGUCCUAGUGCUGUGCAGUAUGCACAUCACCCAUAUAAAUGGAUUUUGAAAUAUAACAAAUUAGCAUAGGACAGUUUUUGAUCGACUGUAGAAUGUUUUGUGUUCAUAAGAAUGGUUAGAAUUUUAUGUUAGCAUUAUAAGCAACUUAGUUAUUAUCCACCAGUUCAGACAACUUUCAUAUAAUCCCUCUUUAUGGUUGUAAUUAUUGAUUUUGAACUGCAGGGAAUUGUAUAUUUGUAUAUCAGUGUUUUUGCCCCUGAGGUGAUUUCAAAGUACCAUGUAUUUCCAUACAGUAUGUAUGAAUUGCUGUGGGAAACCUCACUGUGUGAAUGGGCGGUUUCGCUUCAACUCCAUUUGGUCUUAAUGGCCAUGGUCCCAGCAAUUGUAAGCUUGCUUAUCAUUUUCUUACCUUUUUCUUUAAGUAAACACUACAACUUCUCUGAUAAGAAAUUGAACUGGUCCAAGCAUUAAGAUCAUCUGCUGGAUUGAUUUUUACUAAUGAAAGUCCUAAUACAAGCCUUCUGGUGCCCUUAUUUGCAUCCCUGCAUGUGCACAAAGCACUUUUAUAGUGGUCCACAGACAUCAGCUCAAUGAUUCUUAUGAUACUCGAGUUUGACGGAAGGCACCUAAAACUUUUCCAUUUAAGACAUUUCUGCGCUUUUACAUUUUCUCUAGAAAACUAUUCCAUGAGAGUUAUGAUCUCUCGUACACACCCACGAAUUAUUUAGGCUCGUAUAAUGAGUAGGUUCUGUCAAGACUUAUCCUUUGGACAUAUUCAUAGAGUUUUCUCUAUGAACAUGACGAGAAAUGCUAAGGAGCUACCCCUUUAAAGUGAAACAUCAAUCUGCCCCUCUAAAAGACAAUUUGUUAAUGGCAUUCUGGAAGACAUUUAAAAUGUUCAAUAUUUUAGCUCUCUUAUACUGUCUUUAGAGGGGUAAGUUUGUGCUGCUCUAUAAAGAAGUAGCUUCUUAGCAGAUCUCCCGUUUUGGCAUGGCAAAUGGAUUAUUUUAACAAGGUUAAAUUCUUGCAGAUGACUUGGUAAAGGUUAGCAAUAAUUCACACUCUUUAAGUGACUCAAUCUGAUGCAUAUCGAGUCACUAUUUUCUCUUAUUUUCUUUUUCUUAGUAGGGAGGUAGCUGAUUAUGAGUAUCUAUCAGCUGCUCAAGUUGCUUUUUGUUAAUGUUCCUAAUGCUCGUAUAUAUUAUGCUUGACACAAAGGUAGUUGCCCUCAAGAAGUUGUGAGGCAGCUUGUAUCGAUAUAAAUAUGCUGUCAGGAUUUCCAGAAUGUGGUGCACAUGCAUGGGAUCAAGACCACUGUUCAUUACCCAUACUUGGACUUUUCUUAAGUUCAAAUUUGAUUCAGCAGAAAAAGAAUGAUAUUCUGACUUAAUUAUUGCAGUCAUCUGAUCACUUCUAUAACUCCCUUUGUAACCCUUUAAAUUAUUUCUUCUCCCAUCCAGAGGAAAGUUUGUAUCAAUUGUAAUAUUCGGGUGGUAGAUUUGGCUCCUUGUCAUUUGUCUUAUCUCUACAUUUAACCUUUUGUUCAAAUUGUGUGUAAUCAUUGUGAUCUAUUACAGGACUAUUAUUAUGCUUGGUACUGGUAAAAGUGUUUUUUCUUUUGAUAUCUGUGAGAGUACACUCUGCUAAUAAUGACCAUAGGUUAAUACAUCAUACUUAGAUGUUCUCAAUAAUCUAGAAUACUCCAUCCAAUGUUCACAUAAUCAUCUUUUAAUAUUAAUCAUGAAAUACAAAUCUAGAACAUUUAUAAUAGAUUGAUAAGCUCUGUUGUAACUGUGUGGAAGACUGGGAAAUUCCUUUAUAUUGGUAUUUCAGAGAAUCAAAUAUUUAUUGGCUUUUUUCUCUUCAAAUUAAGGGUAGAAGGUUUUUUUUUUUUUUUUUUUUUUUACCAUUCAAGUAUAAAAUUCACACUAAUUGGAAUUUGGGGUGACAUUGAGCCUUCAUAUUGUGACAUCUCAUAAGUGAUAGACUUUGAUGAUUCACAUGUUCCAAUUUCUUAGUAGGGAAUGUGAAGAUAUAUCUAAUUAUUUUCUUCAGUUAUGUGUUUGCUAUUUAAUUUAGAAAAUGUCCAUCCACACUUAGCUGUAUGAAAUUUGUCUGUUUGACUAUGCAAAUAAUCUUUCUUCUUGAUAUUCUAAAGGAUAUGCAACCCCUUGAACGGCUAUGAGUGCUUGCUUAAAAAAAAAAAACACAGAUUUCAAUAGAUUUAGGUUGUCUGCAUAUCUUCAUGACAAUCUCAUUCUUUGAACAAGCAAUCCUAUUUAGUUUCAACUUAAUAAUAAAAAAAUUAAAGAAAAUAAAUAAUGAAGUAAUAAAAUACAUAUAUUUGGAUCAGCACUUAUGGUCACAGAAGGUGUAUAUUAUGAUAGCAAAAUUAGGAUCCAACCACUCUUUCUCUCUAUGAAACUUCUUAAAACAAAACAGUCAUUUUACUUGCUUCAACAGCAAUGAUGCAUUGCAUCACCUUAUUAAUCUACAAGGUCUAAGAGAACAUAGAACAUAUCUUCCACCAUUUUUCUCCCACUGCAUUUGAGUUGCCAAGUAUGUGAAACUGGCACUCGGUUGUUUGACAUUAAUUUUGUGACAUUGGAUGUCCAUGGUUAUCUCGCCUUGAGUUCAUUGUUAGGAAAACCUCGUUGUACGCGCGUCGUCCCUAGUCCUUCUCUUCGCGUCAAGUUUGUCAAAAGUGAGUUUUUGGGUUUAGGACGUACGUACCUAGUUAGGGCGUACGUACGUCAUGUUAGGCAGCAAACAUGUUUUGGUCAGGACGUACGUACCUAGUUAGGGCGUUCGUACGUCCAAGCAGGCAGCGAACUUUUACAGUGUGGGGACGUACGAACGUUGUUUCGACGUACGUACGUCCAAUGUGGAUUUCAGCAAUUCCAGCCCAUUUUGUGUGUGUUCUAACCCUAAGUAUAAAUAAGGUUUCUCUACCAAAGAACAAGUUAGUUCUUUGGCCGUCCAAUUCAUCUCUAGUCUUGGAGUAUGUUUAGGUUUUGGUUUUAGGUUGUUUUGGUGAUUGAACUCAUCUUCUUCUUCCCCAUUCAUCUUCUUCUUCUUCAUUAUUGUUUAUAUUGAUUUAGCUUCGAGUCUUCUUGUGUGUUCAUCAAGAAGUCGAGUAUCCUUGUGUGUUCAUCAAGGAACUCUGGUGUAAGCUUGUUCCAUAGUUCGGCUUCGAGUCUUCUUGUGUGUUCAUCAAGAAGUCGAGUGUCUUGUGCGUACAUCAAGGUGCUCCGGUGAAGUCAAGGUGUUAGAGAUAACCAGUAGUGUCAACUCGCAGUGAUUGCAGGUAGUUGAUAGGUUUGUACAUCUCUUUUCAUCUAGUGGAUUUAUUUGUUGUCGCGAGGACAACCGUGGACGUUUCCCAUAUUGGGUUUUACCACGUAAAAAUAUCGUGUGUUCUUUAUUUGUUUAUUGCUUUAUUGUUUGUUUUACUAUUGUUAUAUUGCACAUAUAUUGGGUUCUCAAUUGGUAUCAGUCGCAGGGCGCUUGUUAUGGAGCGUAAUGGCUCACGCGUAGAUCCUAUGAGUGCAAUAAUGGUUCAUGAGUCUGGUUAUAAUAAUUUUAUUGCUAAAUCGUCUAAAUCUACAAAACCAAAAUCUGAUUUUGAAAAGGAUGAUAAUUUGUAUGUUGUUAGCAAUAGUGAUUGGGCUCUUCUUUACAGACUUUCUGCAAAAGAAUGUGAUAGAUUACAAAAAGCUAAUAUUGAUUUGCAGGAAAAGUUUAAUAAAGCUAAUUGUAAUUUGUCUACUAUUUCUGAUAAUUUUUGUUUUGAAGAUAAUGGUGUUUUGUAGAAUAAGGUUGAUUCUCUAGAAUAACGACUCAGACAUUGUGCAGAAGACUAUAUGCUUCAAGGGGAAGUUUAUGAAUCCAAAAUUAAAAAAUUGGAUAAGGCUAAUCUUACUUUGCAGGAUAAAAUCGAAACUCUUGAAAAACAAAUUCUUUCUGCUGCAGAUUGUGCAAUUUCUAUUUCUCAAUUAUUUGAAAAAGAAAAACUUGACUUGUUAUGUAGAAUUGCAGCUUUAGAGAAGGCCAAUCAGGAGGUCGAUGAGAAAUACAAAUCUUUAUUGGUGGAGUAUGAGGUAACAAAGAACGAUUUAACGUCUACUCAACUCCAAUUGCAGGUUUUUGACAAAACUAGAUUUGACUCUCCUAUUACUAGUUCUACUAGUUCAUCUAGUGUGACUACUUCUGUAAAAUCUAGUUUGCCUGCUCUUUUGCCUACCCCGCCUAUUGAGACUAGACUUAAUACUAAUAGUUUUCAGCAUGUUUCUCGCACAAAGUUUAAGUCUAAGGCUAAUGAUAAUGUUGCUUUUGCUGGUAAGCCAUCUUGUUCUAAUAGAGGAGGUAUGGGUUUUGUUAAGGGACAAUAUCAUAAACCAAAUAGUGACAUACAUGGUUUAUCCACCACUACUGCAUUUUCUUAUAAGACUUGUUUGAGAAAAUCUAAUAAUUUUCAUUGUUCUUAUUGUGGUAGAGAUGGUCAUUUGGAUAUCUUUUGUUGGGAUUUUAAUAACAUGUUAAAUGUUAUACUCAUGUUCCUUAUAAUUAUAAUCUUGUUGAUUCUUAUGUUCCUUCUUGUGCGUUUUCUAGACCUUGGAAUUCUAAUGUUUAUUGUCAUAGGUUUAAGAGAAACAGAUACUCCAACAAAAGGAAGUCAAAGACUAAGGUGGAAUUAGUUAAGGACAAGUCUAUUGCAAAGCUUGUUAAGGGGAGAUCUCAUAUCUUUUCAAUUCCCAAGGUGUGCACGCCUAGUGUUAAACAAGUAUGGGUAAGAAAGGAUAAGUUGAAGGUUUUUCUGGACUUGCAAAGGUCUGGUGGUGUCCCACAUUUGGGAUGAUGUAGUUUGUUUCUAGCCUUGUGUUAUUUAAAUUGCAUAUUUCUCUAACCACAUAGGCUAUUUGUUUGGUGUGUUUUUUUUUUUUAUGUUUUGGUUGUCUAGCUUGCAGAUCAUGCUGCAUGUCUGAAUACAUUGUUAAUAAAAAAAAAGGGGGUUGUUGGUUAUUCCUUCUAAUUCUUUUAUUCCAUGUAUGUGUUGUUAGAUGCAUCGUUUCUGAGAUAUUUGCUUAAUUCAAUUGUCUUACAUAAGUUGCAAUUUGUUUGGGAGGUUUAGGUUCUUUUAUUAUCUCUCUUCUAUAGGCUUCGUCUUAGGUGUUGAGGACAUACUAGUCUAUUUAUUGUUUGGAUUCCAUUAUUUUUGGAUAGUUAUAGUUUGGUAACUUCAACUGUGGAUUCCUGUCAAGGAUUGUUGUAGGGCUGCAUCAUACUCCCUUUGCCUUUGGUGGUUUACUGCAUGAUGCAUUUGCAUGUUGUGGGAUUUUUAGAGUAUUUUUAUACUUUGAUCCUUGUAUGAUUAAGUAUUGAUCAUCUGACAUCAUCUCUAGCUUCUGUUUUCUUCAUGGUCAUCAUUUUUUUUAUAUAUACCUCUUGUAAGUGGUCAAUGACUCACAAAAUCCCCAGCCAUUUGAAUGUCUUAAGCGCAUUAUCAGUUGGCUAGGAACCCGUUGGGGCUGUGAGGGUCAUGCUCUGACGGAUGCACUCAGGAGAUGUUAGUUCUUGUGUUGCACGUUAUCAUGGUAUUGCACUUCUUGAGUGUGUUUUGCCGAAAAGAUGUAGGCUACACCCUACCCUCGUGUUUUGGUAAAAGAUGGAGGUGUCCUAUACUCCCACACGAGAAUGGCAUUUAUUUUACAUGGAUAAAACCAAUAAAAAUGUUCAUUGUGUUUGAACCAGGGUCUUUCCGUAUUGCAGCCUAGACAGUGUUUCCUUGGUUUUGGUGUGAUCUGGUUCACUUUUAUAUUUGUCCAAUUGCAAGUGACUUUCAAAAUACUCAUUGAUCUUAGUUUCGGUUUGUUUCCGGAUUUUGGUAUAGGACUACCCUGCUUCUCCUGCAUAGUUGCAUCAUUCUUUUGACUACCGUGGUUUGGUGUAUGAUUUAGUUCUUCGUUCUUGCAUUUUCUCAUGGUUGAGGCUUGUUCAAAUUGUAUUCGUGCUUUAAUCGGAAUCCUUACAAUACUUAGAAUUUUUUUUCAUGUGAUGUCUCUCAAUAUUUGUGUUGUUAGUUAUUCGGUUUGUUUUUCUAUUGUUAAGGUUAGUUCUCUAUUGCACACCAAGUGUUUGCUAAAAUGCCUAAAUGAAUAUUCUCACCUGUUUUGGUUGUUACUUAGAGUGUUUUCUAACAUUCUUCGAUUGGUUCCUGUUCUGGGUAUGCAGGACAUGCCUCUUAAGCGAGCUCGGACUACUCCCACCAAAGAAACACCCGGUUCCAAGGGUGCUUCGUCAUUGGGCACACGUCCUCCUCGUGCUCAAAGGAGUAGAGGCGCCAUUCCUUCGGAUUCUUGUAUGCUUGUUAUUCUAGCAUUGGUUGUUGCUACCACCACUUAGACUGCUAUUUUCUACUGUAUGCAGGUUCAUGGACACUGUGCGUGUCGUCAACUUUAUUUUUCUCUCAGUAACUUUACAGGUAGAUGUUCUUGCUGAAAGUGUUUAUGGCUUACUCUAUUUUUUCAGUCGGUGUUUCAUUGACAUAUUAAGGUCAGAUUGUUAGUAUUAUUUGGUUUUAACCUUCAUGCUUUCUAUUUUUGUCAUUGGAUCACAUGUGUUUGAUGUGAUUUCUCAAGGUAAUAGUUCUCAAUUUGUUUUAAGAAAGCUACAAGGUAUGCAUAAGCAUAUUUUGGUGAUGAAAUCAUGUUAUUGGUGUAUUCGUUUGUCAUGAUUUAUAUUGCUUCAUGUUUUCUCAUAGGUUCUCAUCAUACUUUUCUAUGUUGGGAUAAUAUUCUUGAAUUACCUUGUUGGCUAGCUGGUUUGAUUAGAUGCGUUCUUGGUAGUCUUCUGCAAUAAUCCUCCUGCAAUGGUUUUGGGCUACCACUGUUCUACUUUGGGAUCCAUAUGCUCAGUUUGGUCAUCUAUUGUUAGCAAUUCUCUUCUAUUGACUCUCUAAUCUUUCUGACAGUGUAUGUCAUGUCAUCGGAGUCUUAGUGUUCUGGCAGGAAAUUUGCUCUGAAGUUGGAUUGUUGUUUUGUGACUUGGUGACAUCGAUAAUCCUUGCUCAUUCUUCAGUUAAAGUAUUUUUUUUAUGAGUUUGAUGAUUGCUUAUCUUGUUUGGCAUAUGUUGAACUAAUUUUUGGGUUUCACUAGGGGUGGGCUUACAGGUUUAUUCCUUUUAUGUAUCUAUUCCAUUGUGUUUGGGAUAAUAUUUUCUUCUCUUUGUUUAUGAGAUUCUCUAAUUCUUUUUUGUGGUUGGAUGAGUUGUUUCAGGAACAUGUACAGAUUGGAUUUCCCUAUGGAUUCUCAAUGGAUUUUCUUAUACUUUCCAUAUUUCAUCCUGCAGAUACUCAUAUUUCUGUAGUUUUGUCAUGGGAUAUUGUUGGAUGUGUCUAGUAUGCAUGGUUUCCCUAUUCUCUUUCAUAUCUCCUACUAACUAUUGUUUAUCUCUUCUUCUUUCUCUUUUUGCAUAUUCUUUUCUUGCACAUUUCUCACAGGUUUGACUAUUUGGUUCUUGGUCAUUAGUGUACGUUGCCGAUUUCAUCGGUUUUGCGUGUCAUGGAUUCCAGAUCUAUGGUAUGGUUUUCUCUUUCCUCUCUUCUUCUAUUCUUUGGUUCAUUUUGCUUUAUUCUCGUUUUGAUUUAUGUCACCCCUUUGCAUCAUUUGUGACAAAAAGGGGGAGAUUUAUGACUCUAAUACUAACACCUUCUUCUUCUUU
rnacentral:lncRNA from 1 species